rnacentral:lncRNA from 1 species
AAAUGCUUAAUCCCACGAGAGUGAUUUCUAAGAAAUCAACGAAUGACUUGGGUAACCUCAAUAAUUGCAUAAAGUCUAUCUCUCUCUCACUCUCUUUUUUUAAAUAAAAAUAAAAAUUGGUUACCAAAUUAAAACCCUUGUCUUCUUCUUCUUCUUCUUCUUCUUCCCAUGCUCGACACAAAUACCCGGCUUCUUCUUCUUCUUCUUCUUCUUUCCAUGCUUUCAUGAAUCUUUUGAAAUGAUUCACCCUGAUUUCCUUCCACUUCUCAAACUUUAAAACCCUCGUUUCUUAUCGUUUGUCGAUCAAUUCCCCUGGUUCCGUUUUCCUCCCUAAGUCGAGUGUACCGUUAUUUCCGCUGAUUCCGUAUUUGAGUUUAAUGUUGCAACUCUGAGUCUACUUUCUCUUAAUUAGUUAAUUACCUUGUUCCUCAUAUAAAAACCUAAUAAUUCAUUCUUUAAAUAUGUUGUUUGAGUCCAAUUUAGAUGGAUUGGCUUCUAGAUUUUCCAUGGAGUAGGUUUUUGUUUCCAACUUGUAUUGGUAAUUGUUGUCUUCUAGUACUGAUGGAAUCUGAUAUACUAGUUGUGACAUUGGCAUUUUGUUUGAUCAUUCUGUUUGUUGGAAAUUUCAUGGAAAGACUUAUGAGUUACAAUUGAUAUGUUAUUUGUAUACUAGAGACAUAUAUCGGUAUCUUAUUCUACCAUUUGAAGCUGCUUUAAAGAAUUUUCAUAUCAGAUGCAUUGUGGCUGUAGCAGAAUCAAAUAUGGAGUGCCAUUGGAUUUGGUGGCUAUAUGGGUAACUUGGAGGAGCUCCAUAUAAAAUUAAAAUGAUGCUACUGUUUGAAGACUUGUAAUUAUAUACACUUGUAAACAUAUUUUGGUUAAACUAUUGAAAAAGAAAGAAAGAAAAAAGAGAGAUAUUUUGGUCAGAGCUAGAUUUUGUCAAGCUUUGAUGGAUGUAGCUGUUUAAGCUCAUUUGUAUAGUGGAGACUACAAAGGGAGGGAGAACCUUAUGAUGUUUAGGAAAAAUAGUGAGCAUUUGGUUCUUAGGAUGUCUUUUGUUAAAGACUAUCCAUGUAGUGUAAUAAUAUUUACUCUUUUGCAAGUAGCUUCCUUUGUUCAUUCUUAAAAAAAUCAUAGCUUAAAGUGCAGUAGGAAUUGUUCAACAAUGAUACUGUAUGUUAGGGAAUCAUUAUGAAUAGCAUUGAGGGAAAAGUUCGACAAUGCCUAUGUAUACAUUUCAAUGUAUGAAACUUGAAGAACAUCAAUUUGUGUCUUUCCAGUUAUAAUAUUAAAUAAUAAUCCUUCCAAAUAACAUGACAAUCCAUCCAAAUGAAAAUAUCAAAAUUCUAAUACAAGAUAAAGCUAAAAUGUUGCAAAAGCAGUGACUGAAUUAUGUCUUUAUGAUGUUAGAUGGCUUAGCACAAGAAGUGCAAAAAGCCAUGAAUUACAUAACGGUAGCAAGCAAGCGAAAACAGAAGGAAAAAAAGGCACAGGAGCCACCCAUAAAAAAUGCAACCAGCAAACAACAACUGCAAUGCUGCAGAGCACUAACAGAAGGCUAAAACAGAAAAACCAAACUGUCAUCCUCAAAAAACCACCGAAACAGCAGCCUGUCAUCUUGUGUCUCUAUGGUUAUUGUGCUGAUCUUUCAUAUGAUAUUGUUCCUACAAAAAGACACAGAGAUUAGUGCAUUUUUUUUUAAUUAAAAUUUGAUUUUGCCGCACAAUAAACAACUAGCUCAUUGUUUUGCCAUACAAUAAGAGACAAUACCUGGACCACACUUAAGAUAAACGCAGGGACUUAAAUUGGAAAAAACCAGAGAAGAAAAAACAUAGCAGACUAGAAGGCCAACAAAUUUGUAGCAUAAUUUAAUUUCAUCCACCAACUCCUUUGGCAUCCAAUUGAUAUUAAUUUUCAAAUAAAAAUCAAACAACAUUAAAUUCUAUAUAUGCACCUUGUUUACUUCAGCAAAAUGUUCUUGAUUUGGAUUGAAGGGAGCUAAAUUGUUUAUAGUACCAUAUCCAUUCUUCCUAGCUAAAAUAACCUUGCUCACACUACAAAUACACAGGGAGAUAAACAUUAAUUUAUGGUAUAAAUACUGAAAUGGAUAUAAAUAAAACAUAUAUCCUAUGUUUAAACCUGAUUUAUUGCACUGCUAUGUUCUUCAUUUCGAUCAAAUGGAGCUAAAGUGUUCACAUUUUCACUGCUCAAGAUGUAGUUUUGCUCCUGCUAUAGAUAUAAACAUAAAAAAAAACAUAUAUAACUAGUGUUCAGCAUGUAAUGAAGAAUGAGAGUAAUAAAUUUUGCUUACUUGAAUACUCUCUUGUGUGUCAGUCCCAUCAAAAAUUUCAUAUCUAAUAAAAUUUUCAUUUGUAGUAUUUUGAACAACAGGCGAGCUCAGGCCCUGCCAUAAAACUAAAAUUAGACAUAUAUACUACAAUGUUCAACUCUAGAAAAUAAAUUUUACAAACUCAAAAUCACCUCUUCUGAACUUUGACAACUUGUUCUUUUUUGGCUACUUCGAGUUUUUUUUCCUGCAAUCUUCUUCUUUAUAAUUUUAUCAACUAUAGAAGCCUUUCGUUUUGAAGGAGGGCGCCCUUUUCCUCUAGCCACUAUGGGAUCCAGAAUUCUCGACGCUUGAUUUUGAAUUGAAUUAACUUCUUCUAUAAUAAUCGGAGAAUUUUUUUUACAAGUUAACUUAAUUUUCAAGUCCUUGAUCCAAUUCAUCACUUCCAAUAACUCUUCUUCGGUGCUUAUAUCUAUAGAAGCAACUUCAUAAAAGGCAUCACAUGCUUUACCAACACGCUGUAACUCAACAUUUCCAGUCAAGUUAUCAAUACCACAUUUAAUAACUGUAUGUCGUCGCUUUAUAUCCUUCCUCCACUGAGAAAAAAUAUAAUGAGAUGGCACUAAAUCUGUUUUACCAGAGAGUUUAAGCACACAUAGUAUGUGUCUACACAAAAUGCCUUUAAACUCAAAUAAGCAGCAAGUACAUUGUAUCUCAAAGUCUUUUUCAUUGUAGGACACCUUGAAUACCACAUCUUUUGCUUUGUCGUAUACUUUCUUACUUUCUAUCACAUAAAAUAUAGAAUUAUAACCCACCAAUUCUUCAAAUGAAGUAUGGCAAUACAUCAUAGAAGAAACUUCUACUUGAAAUUCUUUGAAUUUUGCAUUGGUAAAUGAUUUUUGGAAUUGUGAUUCAAAGCCAAAAUGACUUACACAAGCAAUUACUGAAUUAAAUGAACCAAAAUCAGCCUUGCUUUCCUUUUCAAUCUUAUCUUUCAAUGCACUGUCAUAUUGUUCAACAAAUUGCUUCAAUGAUGUCUUUGAGCAUACAUACCCAUCAAAAAAUGAAUUCAUACUUUCACUUCGUUGUGUAGUUGACAUCCCGGCCCAAAACACGUCUCUCACAUACACAGGAACCCAACGAUGUCGCUCCUCAAAUAUCCCUUUCAACCAUUCAUUAUCAUGUAGCGCAUAACAUUCAAUCAUUUUUUCCCACCUCUCUAAGAAAUCACUUUUGCUCAAAGAAUCAUAUACAGCAGCAUGCAAAAGUUCUUUAAUAGACUCAUAUUCUGAGUAUUUACCAAACUUUUCAGGUACCUUUUUCAUUAAAUGCCAUAAGCACCAUCUAUGACGGGCUUUUGGGAAGACAACCUCAAUCGCCUUUUUCAUUGCCUUAUCCUGAUCAGUAAUAAUGGCAUUUGGAGCGCGUCCAUGCAUGCAUUCUAACCACGUGGUGAAUAACCAAGUAAAAGUUUUAGCAUCCUCUUUUGAUAAGAGUGCACAACCCAACAAUACAGAUUGACCGUGAUGAUUUACUCCAACAAAAGGAGCAAAAGGCAUGUCAUAUUUGUUUGUUAAAUAAGUGGUGUCAAAAGUUACGACUUCACCAAAGUAUUCAUAUGCAGCCCUACAUCUUGCAUCUGCCCAGAAUACAUUUCUUAAACGGCUAUCAUCAUCCACAUCCAUUACAUAAUAAAACUGACUAUUUUGCUUUUGCAUUCUAACAAAAUAGUUUUGUAUUGCUUCAGCGUCUCCUGUCCCAAGCCUUAGCCGCCUGACCUUGUCUAUAUAGUUUCUACAGUCUUUUUCACCAAAUGUGAGAUUCUCGUACCCGUUUGCUUCAACAACCAUAGAUCUAAAAUUUCUACUGACAUUGAUACCUGCUUGAUCAUUAAUCUCUAAUUUCCUUUUUAUGUGAGACCCCAUAUUCUUGUUACAUCUAAAGUAUCGUGCCUUGUUUGGGCUAAGGCCAUGAUUAUGGUCAAGAGUAACACUUGUAACUACAACUCUUCCAUCCAGACAUAUACAUGCAUUCAGUCUUGCCCUACAUUGUGUUUUAAUGCUAGCAUUUGGCUUCAAAAGAUUCUUUGAAGUGCUCACAUACUUUCCUGCACGACUACAUGCUAAAGUAAAAUAUUUUUUUCCAUCAUCUCCAUUUUUUGAACUUAUUUUACUCAUCCCGAAACCCAUACGUUGAGCAUAAUUCAUGUAAUACAAGGUAACUUCCGCUUCCGAGCUAAAUGUCAUUUCAUUACUAGGGGCUACCUCUUCACAAACAAUAUUUGAACCUAAAUUAUCAUCAUAAUUUUCGUUUCCUUCAUUUUCUCUUUCACUAGAUGAUGAUUUGGAUAUUUCUUGCACUAAAACAAUUUGUUUAAAGAAAUUACAAUUAAUUAUCCAAACAAUUAAUCUUAGUCAAAAAAAGAAAACACAAUUAAUAGGUUGAAUAUCAGUAAAUUAAUCUAGAAAAAAAUACCAACAAAUACUUACUUGUAAAUCCAAUUGCUGAAACUAAAGCAAAAUAGAAACUUUUGUUUAAGAGGUAGAUAGUGGUUCCACAAACAUGCAGAGACUAUGAGACGAAGGCAAAAUGGGAAGGCAACAAUUAUGAUGCAAAUAUGAAACUGUCUAUGUCUAUGCGGCAACGAAAACAAAAACCAAGAGACAGUCGCACAAUUUUUGGGUGAGAGAGAGAAAGUCACGCAAUUUGUGAUUUUUCUUUUUCUUUUAAAAGAAAAGAUAUGAUUUGCACCUUUAAUUUAAAUUAAAAAAGAAGUAACCCACGUGCACGGCACAUUAAUUCGUGAUUCCCGUGAAAAUUUCUUCGUUGGAAAUAGCGGUGCUGCUGCACUAAAUUGGUCUUAUGUUUAUCACAUAGGAACUACAAAAAGAAAUAAAAAUGAUAGAACACACAAUAAAAGCUGCUUUCUUAGAGAAGAUGCACAAAUAUGUUCAAUGGACUUGAAUCUCAUCCUAAAAACAACUCAAAGGAAUAGAGUACUGAAGCAUAUUUAUACACUCAACGGCUCUGGAACAUGAGCAACGUGGGACUAAAAACAAACUAUAAACAAAUUCAAAACCAACUUCAACAAAACAAUUAUGAUCACACAUUCACGCUGUUUUUAGGCACGAUCAUGAUCAUAAAUUGUCCAUCACGCAGAUCCUAAUCUACAAGUAACAAGAGAAACCCUAGAUAAGUGAUGAAGGUUGGUAGAGGAAAUCAAAUAUCUUAUGUUGUUGGUUUCUUUCAACAGUUUUCAAUGCCUUAUCUAUCCUGAAGAAAAUAUUAAUGACUUACGAAAAUAAAUAAAAUUUUUUAAAAAAUAAUCCCAAAGCAAUGGCUUGGAUACAGCUGAGUGGAGGAGCAGUGGGGUGAUUAAAGCCUUUUUCUAAAAAUGGGAAAAAGAAAGAAACUAAGUAAAAACCAGGUGAUUGGUAGGUAUUUUGAAAAGUUAAUAAUUAUUGUUCAACUUAUACCUACUCAAAAAAAGCAAUCUUAAGUCUUUUUGUGUAUAUUUGAUUUCAAUUUUAAAGUUGAAAAAACUAAUUUUGAUAUGUUUGGAUGUUUUUAAAUAUCCAAAAUUUAUUUUGUUUAAAUCAUUUUUAAAUUAAUGUUUUUAAAUAUAAAUCACUUCAUAUUAAACUCAAACCAAUUUUAAUCACCACUCAAGUAAAUAAGUGGGAAAGCCAAAGUUUGAACCCCGGCCCCUACAUAUAAAAUGUCUUACAUCUAGACUAGACCCUUAGUCGUACUUAGUGUAAUUUUCUCACUUCCAUUUAAUAAAUAAUUCUGUUGUUUCCUUCAAAAUAAAGUAAAAAAUUGUUGUUAAAAAAAAGUGAUUUGGAACCAAGGAAAAUAUGGGAAAACUAUAGACAUCUUAAAAUAGCUCAAUACAACAAUUAUCGACUUCCCUGCACUUUAGCAAAACAUAAUUUUUCGAAACUUAUUCAUGUUCGUUUUCCACAUAUUCAAAUCAGUUAGAAUGCUUACCAAGCACAAAUUAGGGUGGGAUUGAACUAUCAAAGAUCAACAAUUAACAUGUCAAGGCAUGCAAAAGGCAAGCAACAACUUUAAACUCAACACACCAUAUCAAAUCAUUCCAACCAAAAAUCAUUGAGAACACAAUGCAUGCAUGCAACAAGGUUCAUACCCCAUACAUACAUUUUCUAUAUUAUGGAAUUUGUAAGAAAUAAAAAGGGUGUUUGUUUGUAGGGUUGUGUUAACCAGUGCCCCCAUGGCACUUGUUAAGAAAGCUAGAAAUUGAAUUUUUUUGCUCGGAAACGGCUUAUUUUUAUUUGACAUACAACUAUUUGAAAGACUUGAAAAGCGCAAAAUUGAGUUUUUUUUUUCUUUAAAGAUUCCGGAUAUUGAGGGCUUGGUCGAUGAGAUUAAAACAAUCUUUUUUUUUUUAAGGAAGAUUAAAACAAUCUUAAGGAGUUGGAUUCUAUUGCAAGAAAUAAAAGGGGUGUUUGUCUGUAUAAUGAAUUCGAAUUCAUUGCUUUGCCUCAAUAGUUAGUGUAGGGUGUUUGUUUCGGUGGGUCGAAUACUCUUGCUCUUUUGCCUCGGUUGUGAGUUGAGUACCUAUUGUAAUUUUCUCACCUCCAUUUAAUAAAUAUUUUUGUUGUUUCCUUCCCAAAAAAAAUUGAAGUUAAAAAAAAGUUAUUUGGAAUCAAGGAAAAUAUGGUACAACCCUAGACCUCUUUUUUCGUUUUUUAGCAACAACCCUAGACAUCUUAAAAUAGCUUAAAACACCAAUUUUCGACUUCCCUCCAUGUAACAGACCUUCAACUAGAGAAGUAAAAUAAGUUUCAUAACCAAAGUACAAGUUUGAAUGAGUACAAUAAAGAAGCAAAGAAUUAAAAUAGAAUCGAGAAGGAGAAUGGAGAUAGAAAAGAAGAUGCUUAUGGCAUCACAAUUUCCAUACCCUUUUUCCGUGACAUUCUCUUAUUUAUAAGUCCACACUCAAAUUUCCUAUAUUGCCUCUUUAAGUUAUUUGACUCAUUACAUUGCACUUUUGCAAAACAUAAUUUUUCCAAACUUGUUCAUGUUCGUUUUGCACAUAUUCAAAUCACUCAGAGUAAACAUUGUUUAUUUUCAAAUUUUGCACAAACAAUUAAUUAAACCUCAUAAUUAUGAUAUCCUUCUAGUUCAAUUUACACAAAAUAGUUGUCAAAUCUAUAAUAACUCAACAAUAUGUAGAUCAUUAACUUUAUGAAUACAUUGUCUUUUGCUUUAUCAUCAAUCAUCAAUUAGUAUUUUAUGAAUACUAUAAAGUCUAAAGUAUAAAGAAAAGGGAUUUUAUUAACGUUAUAAGAUGAUGUUUAUGAUGUGAUGAUUUAUGAUGCUAUAUGAUGAUGAUUAUGAUUUGAUUAUUAUGUGCUAAGUGAUGAUGUAUAUAAUGCGAUGAAUAUGAAGUUAAUAUUAAUUAGAAGUUGGUUGAGUUAUUAAGAAUCAUUACAUAAAGGAUUAUUAUUAGGCAAAUUCUAUGUUGUUAAAUAUAAUUAAUGAAUUAUAUGCUUGAUAUUAUUGUUUUGUGAAAUCUCACCCCUUCUGCUUGGAAAUGUUGCUCUUUGUAUGAGUAACUUGCAGGUGAUCGAGUUUAAGUUGUUGUUAGAUUGUUGUCGUGAGUGGAUUAUCUCUCAUGUGUGUCUUUAGAUGCUCUGAUACGUAACAGGAUGGGAACUUUGUUGCAUGCUUUUCUAUUCCUUACGUAUUGCUUAUGAAUUUACAUGAUUAAGUUGUUAAUUGGAUUUUUAUGAGAUANNNNNNNNNNNNNNNNNNNNNNNNNNNNNNNNNNNNNNNNNNNNNNNNNNNNNNNNNNNNNNNNNNNNNNNNNNNNNNNNNNNNNNNNNNNNNNNNNNNNNNNNNNNNNNNNNNNNNNNNNNNNNNNNNNNNNNNNNNNNNNNNNNNNNNNNNNNNNNNNNNNNNNNNNNNNNNNNNNNNNNNNNNNNNNNNNNNNNNNNNNNNNNNNNNNNNNNNNNNNNNNNNNNNNNNNNNNNNNNNNNNNNNNNNNNNNNNNNNNNNNNNNNNNNNNNNNNNNNNNNNNNNNNNNNNNNNNNNNNNNNNNNNNNNNNNNNNNNNNNNNNNNNNNNNNNNNNNNNNNNNNNNNNNNNNNNNNNNNNNNNNNNNNNNNNNNNNNNNNNNNNNNNNNNNNNNNNNNNNNNNNNNNNNNNNNNNNNNNNNNNNNNNNNNNNNNNNNNNNNNNNNNNNNNNNNNNNNNNNNNNNNNNNNNNNNNNNNNNNNNNNNNNNNNNNNNNNNNNNNNNNNNNNNNNNNNNNNNNNNNNNNNNNNNNNNNNNNNNNNNNNNNNNNNNNNNNNNNNNNNNNNNNNNNNNNNNNNNNNNNNNNNNNNNNNNNNNNNNNNNNNNNNNNNNNNNNNNNNNNNNNNNNNNNNNNNNNNNNNNNNNNNNNNNNNNNNNNNNNNNNNNNNNNNNNNNNNNNNNNNNNNNNNNNNNNNNNNNNNNNNNNNNNNNNNNNNNNNNNNNNNNNNNNNNNNNNNNNNNNNNNNNNNNNNNNNNNNNNNNNNNNNNNNNNNNNNNNNNNNNNNNNNNNNNNNNNNNNNNNNNNNNNNNNNNNNNNNNNNNNNNNNNNNNNNNNNNNNNNNNNNNNNNNNNNNNNNNNNNNNNNNNNNNNNNNNNNNNNNNNNNNNNNNNNNNNNNNNNNNNNNNNNNNNNNNNNNNNNNNNNNNNNNNNNNNNNNNNNNNNNNNNNNNNNNNNNNNNNNNNNNNNNNNNNNNNNNNNNNNNNNNNNNNNNNNNNNNNNNNNNNNNNNNNNNNNNNNNNNNNNNNNNNNNNNNNNNNNNNNNNNNNNNNNNNNNNNNNNNNNNNNNNNNNNNNNNNNNNNNNNNNNNNNNNNNNNNNNNNNNNNNNNNNNNNNNNNNNNNNNNNNNNNNNNNNNNNNNNNNNNNNNNNNNNNNNNNNNNNNNCAUUAACAUAUAAUUUUUACAAAAGAAUGAAGUAACAUUUUGUCAAAAAAAUAAAAUAAAAAAUGAAGUAACAUACCAAUAAUAUAACAUUGACAUAUAAUUUUAACAAAAGAAUGAAGUAACACACGAUUGAUAAAAAUUAAUAUUUUUAAGGUGAAUAAGUGUGGUGUCUGAGGUUCGAAUUCCAACAUCUGCAUAUAUUUGUCUACUACAUCUACAAUGUAUAUGACCCGUGCGGCAGCACGGGUGGAAAGUCUAGUAUAUUAUAAAUCAUUAGCGAAAGCGUAUAAAGCAUUGAACAUGAAUAUGACCGGAUAUACAACAUGUUUGAUCAACCGUAUUAAUAAUUAGGUAUUAAAAAUACAUGGAAAAAACUUUGAUGGCAGACCUAUGAACAACAACGGUCUAAAACAAAGAUAAGGUGAUAUCAAACACACAACAAAGAGAUGAGGUAAUUUGGAAAUUGGAGAACGGUGAUUUUUAUUAAAUAUAUUAGCACUUAUGGCAAUUUUACGAUGCCAUUUUCAUUGAGUUAUCACCACAUGGACAAAAGUAAAAUACAAAGAAACAACUCUAAAUCAAAUAACUAUAAGAAACAAGGCAAUUUAUCAUCCCUUCUCAAAAAAAACUAAUUUACUUUCCAGCAAUUAAAUAUUUUGUUAUAAUUUGAAGAACUUGAACACCUUGUCGAAGAUGAUCAACAUACUUUGCAAGUAAAUGGCUGGUUGGAUUUUGUUUAAGACUAUUACUACAUUCAAGAACGUAUUUCAUGACAUCAGCUGUAUCUUUAGCCAUGGCUUGAUAGUGUUUCACCUGAAAAUCUAGUUUUGCAGCACCAAGCCUGGUAGUGGCACUAUCACUAGAGUCUUUCCUUCCAGCCAUGUUUUUUCUAUCAACAAUGCUCGAACUCGAGACAUUGUUGAAACCAACUCUAGUUAUACUCAAAUCAAUGUAAGGUCAAAGAAAGUAUCUAAUUACAUAGUUAUUACUAAUUUGUUUUUCAGAAUUCCUUUAAAUUAAAAAUAAAAUACAUUCACUUUUAAGAAUUGGAGAAGGGAAAAUAUUUUAUUAAAUAAAUUGGAACUAAAAGUCAUUUUACAAGACUAUUCUCAUCGAGUCAUCACCUCAUAGACAUAACUAGAAUACAAAGAAACAACUCUAAAUGAAACUAUGAAACAAUCCAAAUUAUUAUUCCUUCUAAAGAAUUAAUUUAUUUUUCAAGAUUUAAAUAUUUUGUGAUAAUUUGAAAAACUUGAGCACUUUGUCGAAGAUUUUCAACAUAUGUUGCGAGUAAAGGGCUGGUUUUAUGUUUAUGUAGACUAUCAAUACAUUCAAGAAUGUAUUUCAUAAUAUCAGCUGAAUCUUUAGCCAUGGCUGGAUACUUUCUGAAAGACAAACUUACUUGUGCAUCCGUAAGGCUAGAAGUAACACUAUCUGCAUGGUUCAAAAGAUCAAUAUCACAACGAUAAUAAUAGUUUGCUACCGUAUCAUUUUCAGCACUUCGAACCAAAUUAUGUAUUAGGUUAAGUGUGUCAGACGAAUUAUUAUUAAGCACAUCAAUUGUGUAUCGUGCAAGGUCGACAAGAUCUACACCUUUUGCACCUCCUGGCUUCGAAUUGAGAAGAUUUGAGCAAUACGAAGGAUUGGAUGCUUCUUUGCAAAUGAUAUCCACAUCAACAACUUUGGCUGAGAUUGAAUUGGAGGAAGCAACACAUAGAAUCAAAAGCACCAACAAGAGAGAGGAGUUUUGCCUCAUCAUUUUGUGUUGUUUUUCUUUAUUAUUUCUCUUCUUUUACUUGUGUUUUGCUUCUUGAUUUUACACAUGGCUUUAUAGAGUCUUUGGAUGAAUAUGUUAAUAGACUUUAAUUGAUAUGUUUUGUUGAUGUACAAUUAUUUUACACCGUACAUUGAAUUCAUAUGUAAAAUAUUUGUUCAAAUAUAGUAAUUAAAUUCUAUUCCAUAUGAACUGAUUAUUCUUUACCUAAAAAAAUGAAUUAGUCUUAAUUGCAUUCUGGUCAAUUACCACCUGCGUGCUUGAUUGGGUAUGGAAUCGGAAAUUGGUGGGCGCGGCCAGGAUCGCCGCGAAAACGCGUGGAAACGACUGUCUCGUGCGUUUUGGCCGUUUCCGAUCGUCUUCUUGAAAUUCUGGGUACGCGGGUCGGAUCUGCGACCCAACUUCGAAAAACGUUAUAAAAGCUUCAGAAACUCAGAAAAAACGCGUUUUUUUUAGCUGUCACAUGAAACGGUUUGUUUCUUAGCCCAUUAAACCAAUUAAUUAUUAAUUUAAUUGUAUUGAAAACCUUCCUAAAAAAAUUAAUUGCGUUUUUUUUAUCGACCUGCCACAUGAAUGAAACAGAUCUUUUUUUCCCUAUCAUACCAAAUAUUUAUUAAUUAUAAUUGAUUAAUAACUAUAUUGGAAACCUUCCCAAUACACCACUAAGCAAUAAUUUGUGAAACCUUCCCAAUAUGUUUUUUUAUUAAGUAAUUUUUGUCAUUUGAAGUUGUUUUCUUACUAACUUAAAUCUAUAAGCAGUAUACUAUAAAUUUGGUAGGAUCUUCCGAUCCAUGUUACGAUCCUGCUAUUCACGAUACUGUCACCCUGCCCCGAUCUUGUCUAGGAUCUCGAUUUUGUCUACCUUGGUCAUGAUACGCUUUAAUAAAAUGGCAGCUAAUUUUUAGAGUAAAACGGCGAUUUCACCCGCGGUAAAAUGGCAUUUUGAACUGCGGUAACAUCACUUUAACUGGUACUACACAAAUUGUUGUUCAUAUAUAAACUCUGAAAAGAAACAAAAAGUUAGGGGACAAAAACUGCAUUUAUACUUUAAGUAAAGAAACACGGUCACAUUUUUGAAACAAAUGAAAACUUGAUUUAAUAGAUAACAAGCAAUCUAAGAAAUGUUGAUAGCUUCCUACUUAGCAUUUAAUCAAAUCUCAAUGAAGUUCCAGAAUUUCACAAAUAUGUUCCACAUGUAGUAUUCAAUCGAACAAGCAAUAUUCUUAUAAAGCAAGAUCAUUGAUCCAAAGUUCAAAGUUAAUCAGUUAAUCGUUGAUCCAAAGUUCAAAGUUUAUAAAGCACAUCAAAUAAGUAAAACUUAGCACUAUUCAUUGUUGACAUAUAAUUGAUAGGUUAUAUUGUCAAUUUAGGUGAGAAAAUUACAAUAGGUACUCAAGUCACAACCCACGCAAAAGAGCAAGAGUAUUCGACCCACAUGAAACAAGCACCCAACACUAACUAUUGAGGCAAAGCAAUGAAUUCAAAUAACCUAAUUGUACUACACCAGCUUAGUUACUUGUACUACAAGCUUCUUCAUUCUCAUGCUUUUUAUCCUUUGAAUCUUUGUUGUGUAAUAAAUUUCAUCGUAGCUGCAUGAGAUUGGUCUUAUGUUUAUCUCAUAGGAACUACAAAAACAAAUAAAAAUGAUAGAACACAUAAUAAAAAAGAAAACCUUAAAGAGAAGGAUCCACAAUCAUGUUAAAUGGGCUUGGACCUUCUCCUGAAAGCAGCUCAAACGAAUAGAGUACUCAAACAUAUUUAUACACUCAACGGCUCUAGAACAUGAGCAAUGUGGAACUAACAACCAACAACAAACAACUUCAAUAAAACAAUAGUGAUCACGCAUUCACACUGUUUUUGAGCACGAUCAUUAUCAUAAAUUGUCCAUCACGCAGAUCCUAAUCUACUAGUAACAAGAAAAACCUUAGCAAAGUGAUGAAGGGUGGGAGAGGAAAUCAAAUAUCUUAUGUUGUUGGUUUCUUUCAACAGUUUUCAAAGCCUUAUAUAGCAUGAAGAAAAGAUUAAUGACUUACGAAAAUAAAUAAAAAAUGUGUUUACACUAUCAUCCGAUUAAAAAAAUUUCUAAACUAGUCCAUAUAAUUCUAUACACACGCACGCACAUAUACUCGUACACGCGUGCAUGCUCAUUUACAAAUACGUAUACAUAUAAUGGAGCCAACUUAUGAACCAAAUGAUCUCCUCUGUUCCACUUUAUAUGUCAUUUUAGCAAAAUUUGUUUGUUCCAAAUUAGGAUGACUUUCUCCCAUUCUCAAGGGAAGAUCAAUCUAUUAGUGCAACAUUAGAUUUCUUGCAUUGCAAGUAAGUGUAUUCAUGAAUGAACAAGUGAAAGAAUAUAAUGAAUGAAAAGAGGAUAAAGAGGUUAGAGAGAAGAAAGAGUUUGUUGCGAUCUAGUUAUUCAUUGAUUGAUGAAAAAAAAGCAUUACAACUAGUUAUAUACACUUGACUUGUGAUGCAAGUUAUUAGUAACUAACUCACCGAAGUCCAAACAAUUCUAUUCCACAUGGUAGAAGCAAGCAUAAAGAGACUAGAUUUCACUUCAUUAGAGACCAAGUGAUGAAAGGCAUGCUGGAGUCAUCUAUUGUCUCAUUGAAUUUCAACUGGCUGAUGGUUUUACAAAAGCUAAGGCUUGUAAUUUGUAGUGUUAGUAAGGCUUGCAAGUAACAAUGGCAUCUAUAUGUUUAGAAGUCUCUGCAUGUCUUAGAUGUACAUAAGUAACUGACAGCAUUUGUUAACAAUGAGACUAGUCUUUAAUUGUGAUCAAAAGUAGACAGAAUCAAAAGUAGAAAACACGCUAUGAUAAAAUGAUAUACAUAUCAAAAGAACAUAGUACAUUGAAGGAUCAGAGAGACAUAGUGAAAGAGGGAGAAAAAAACAUAAGUGUGUUUUCUAUAAUCAAAAGAAACUAGAUCAAAAAAUAUAGUGUGUUUUCUGCUAUGGCUCAUGUGUUAUAUAUGGCUCGUGUGUUUUUCUUUUCUAUUCGUAAUUGUUAUAGUAAUUCAUGGUUUAUCAAGUGACUAUUCAUCUAUUGUAAGUAGUUAUAUAAACUAUAUAUGCUUCUGUUUAGGUCUAUGGUUAACUAUUUCUUUUCCUUUUAAUUUUUUUUAUGCUGCAUUGUAUUGUUUAAGUGUGUUUUCUCCCCUGAAUUUUUUUAGCAUGUUUGUUAGUGUUUUGUCUUUGUGUUUGCUUAAAUAUGUUCUGGGUUUUACUUUGUCUUAGCUUUUUUAUGUUAUUGUUGGUGCUUAGAUUUGUGAUUUUUGAGGUAGUGGCUGAGUUCAUAAACUCUCUGUUGCAUUAGGAUCACAUGGCUUGAUAUCUGCAUUCCUUGUUGCAUUAUGAUUAUUUGCAUACUACUUGGAUAUACUAAGUGAUACAUUUUCCUUAAAUACUAGUGGACUUCCUCCUUGAAUUGAUGUUCAAGAGAGAAUGCUCCUUUCAUUGAUUUUCUAUAAACUCAGGAAAAUGUGUUUUUACACUAUCAUCCAAUUAAAACAUUUUCUAAACUAGUCCAUGUCAUUCUAUACACGCACAGGCACGCACGCUCGUGCAUGCGCGCAUGUUCACUUACAGAUAUAUAUAUAUAUAACCAAGUUAACUCAUGAACCAAAUGAUCUGAACUAAACGAAAUUUAUUUUCAGCGUAAGUUAAUUUUGCAUCGAUUUUGUGCGAUUUUGUGCGAUUUUACUAGGAUUUUGCAUGUUUUGGGAUUUAAAUUGUUGAAAGUGAGUAAAGUCGCAAAAUCCUAAAUUUUAGGAUUUAAAUCGGGAUUUUGAUCUAUGUGUAUAUGCAAAUAUAGAAUUUUUUCCAGAAGUAGGGAUUCCUACGUCUACUUACUUUAUGUUGCUGCUAUUCAAUUAUUAAUUAUGAAUUAGGAGGACCAACACUAAUAUAUUGAAUUAUGUAUGAAUGAUAUGCAAUGCAACUAGUUGAUUUGUGUAAAAAAAAAUGGCACAUAAAUCAUAGCAAGUUGCUGCAUCAGCUGCAAGAAUCAUAUUUUUCAAUAUGGUUCUAAAGAUCUUCUUUCUUCAAUUUUUCUGCAUUUUCCUUUUGAUAUCAUCUUCAUCCUCUGAUUUCACUAACAACUCAAAUGGCCUUGAUUUGAAGCUUCAACAAGCUGAAGUUAAUCCUGUGAUAGUCAAUGUAAGUAAAGACAAAAAAAUAAAUGGUACAUAAAUCAUAGCAAGUUGCUGCAUCAGCUGCAAGAAUCAUAUUUUUUCAUAAGCCCACAAUUUUGAAUUACCAAACCAUUGCCAAACUAGUGUAUAUAUUUAGAAGUCUCUGCAUAUCUUAGAUAGACAUUAUAAGUAACUGAUAGCAUUUGUUAACAAUGAGACUAGUCUUUAAUUGUGAUCAAAACUAGACAUAAUCAAAAGUACAAAACACACUAUGAUAAAAAGAUAUACAUAUCAAAAGAACAUAGUACAUUGAAGGAUCAGAGAGACAUAGUGAAAGAGGGAGAAAAAAACAUAGUGUGUUUUCUAUAAUCAAAAGAAACUAGAUCAAAAAACAUAGUGUGUUUUCUGCUAUGGCUCAUGUGUAAUCUAUGGCUCAUGUGUUUUUCUUUUCUACUCUAAUUGUUAUAGUGAUUCAUGGUUUAUCAAGUGACUAUUCAUCUGUUGUGAGUAGUUAUAUAAACUAUAUAUGCUUCUUGAAUUGAGGUUCAAAAGAGAAUGCUGCUAGCUGCUUUGUUAUCAAUAAUAGUGGGAAGCCAAUUUAAGUUAGACAUAAACUUUUGUGCUGAUUUUGACAUACUUGACCUUCCUGUUCAUUGAUUUUCUAUAAACUCGGGAAAAUGCGUUUUACGCUACCAUCCCAUUAAAACAUUUUCUAAACUAGUCCAGGUAAUUCCAUACACACACACUCGUACGCACGCUUGUGCAUGCGCGCACGUUCACUUACAGAUACAUAUACAUAUAAUCGAGCUAACUUAUGAUGGAUGAAAAUCACAUUUCUAGUACAAAUUUGAACAUAAAUUACAUAAUAUUAUCUACUUUAGGCUCUUUCUCUAAUUUAAAACUUCAAAUCCAUAACGCAACAUCCAUAAUAGCUAAAGUAUUAAUGAAAUCCUAUACGCGACUGCAAUCACGCCAUUAUUUAAAACCUUGAUUGUAUCUGUAUGAAUCCAAUAUCCAUGAUCCUAAAAGCAUGUUUUUCACCACCUUCAUAGGGAUACUUCAAAAAGCCUACUAAUAAAUAAAACCAUUUAUCCAUUCAUACUAUUUAGAUUUUAAUAUAUGAUUUUGUCAUUUGUACAAUCAGGGGCAGGGUCAUACUAACUUUCUUUCAAAUAAGUCAUACAUAGUAAAAUUCUCAUUCUUUUAACAUAAUUGAUUAUCAAAAGAUUUUAGCCAUUCAAAGUAUUAAGAUUUUAAGAUGUGAUUAUAUCACCUUUUGAACAAUAGGGGCAAUACUAUUUUGUUUUUUUUAAGAAGACCAUACUAACUUUCUUUCUAAUAAGUCAUUCAUAAUAGCAUUCUUGUUCUAGUAACAUAAUUAUACCAAUAAAAAUAAAAAGGGCCAAAACUAUUUGUUGAUUUAUGUACCAAAAAUUUAUACACAGAUAUCAAUUUUCAUUCCAAACCGAGCAAGUGCAUGGAGAGCAGCUUGAGCAUCUAUAUCAGUUUUAUUUUUUUUAAGAAGCUUUUCCCGAUUAACAUCCUUCAGAUGUUGCAGUGUUCUUAAAUUUUAGGAGCGUAAGUUAGCCGAUGAAAGAUUACCGUAUGAGCCUGAAAAUUAGUCGGACCAUGCCAAUACCACGGAAUCAAAAAUGGGAAAGACUUGUGAACAAAAUAAAGUAGGUGUUGGGUGAGGAGAUUUUUUGAAAGGGAAGAGGUAAAGAAAAAAAUAUAAAUGGAUAUUGAUGAAAAGUAAAUAGAAACCCUAACGGUCACUUAAAGACUUUCUAAAAAUAUAAAUAGAAACCCGUCACUGAAAAAAAUAGGAAAUACUUCUGAAAAAAAUAAAGUAGGUGUCGGGUGAGGAGAUUUUUGAAAGGGAGAGGAGGUAAAGAAAAAAUAUAAAUGAAGAUUGAUGAAAAAUAAAUAGAAUCCCUAACGGUCACUCAAAGACUUCCUAACAAAAUAAAUAGAAACCCUAAGGAUACACGUUUGUUAACUUUAAACUAUCAUGUUGCUAACCCACCAAAAACUAAGUAUAAAAAUAACAAAGGGUGAAUAUGAUAAGAUUAGAAAUAGGUUUAAGUUAUCCUUUCCUAUUGAUGCUCCAAACGGCGGAUUGAAACAUGAUAGAAUUGUUUUAUCAUAUUCUGUUUUCCUAUCAUGUGCACGAAACAGGCUCUAACGAUCACUGAAAAAUCGGAAAUACUUCUGAACAAAAUAAAGUAGGUGUUAUCGGGCGAGGAGAUUUUUGAAAGGGAGGAGGUAAAGAAAAAAUAUAAAUGAAGAUUUAUGAAAAAUAAAUAGAAACCCUAAUGGUCACUUGAAGACUUCCUAACAAAAUAAAUAGAAACCCUAAUGGUCACUGAAAAAUAGGAAAUACUUCUGAACAAAAUAAAUGAAGGUAAAAAAAAAUGAUAAACAAAAACAUCUUUUCAUGGUAGACUAGUACUUGAUGAUCACUUGAAACUAACAAUCGAGAACAUUCACAAAAAUAUAAACCCAAGAGUCCACUUUGUCCUUGCAAGUUGCAACUAAUAGAGUGGCCUUAAUAUAUCAAUGUAACGUUCGACCAAAAUGAGAAGAAAAAAAAAAACAAGAAUGGGAUUGAAAUUUCGAACAAUUUUCAAGUACUAAUCUCUCGUCUUGUGAGACACCUGUUGAAGUUGUCCACAAUUUUCAGUUACUCUUAAUUUGAAAUGCUAAUCAUAGAAUGUCAUAUUACCAAAUUUUCUAUCUCUGUGAGAUCCCUAACUGCUACAAUUUCAUGCAUAUUUGUCACGUGAGGUUCCAAAUUUGAAGUUCAUCUGUUAUAAGAACGGUAAACAUAAACAAAAAAUCAUGAGAAAUUUAACAGUCAUAAAACACAAUCCAGUAAAAAAGGCCAAAACAUAACCAUUAGCAUAUACCCUUAGGACACAUGUUAGCACGACUCUAUAUUUUAUUAGUUUCUUUAGUUGAUAUAGUUUGAACCUUACUAUCAAAUAAAUUAGCAGUUGAGAUUUGAUGUAAAUUUCUUGACUUAAAAUAGAAAGGAAACUAAUAUAAAACCUUGCAUUAACUAUAAUUCAUUGUAAUUGACCAGAAUGCAAUUAAAGUAAUUAAUUCAUAUCAAAUAUUAACAUAUCCAUCCACAUAAUUUUUUGUCAAUGAAAACUAUAGUAUAAAUAUAAAACCAUGUGUAAAAUCAAUAAGAAAAAGUCAAGAAAAAAAGGAGGCAUAAUAAGAAAAACAACAAAAAAAUGACUCAACACUCAUCCCUCUUGUUAGUGCUUCUUAUUCUAUGUGUUGCUUCCUUCAAUUCAAUUUCAGCCAAAGUUGUUGAUGUAGAUGUCAUCUGCAAUGAAGCUUCCAAUCCUUCAUAUUGUUCGUAUCUUCUCAACUCAAAGCCAGGAGGAGCAAAAGGUGUAGAUCUUGUCCACCUUGCAGAAUACAUACUUGAUGUGCUUGAUCACAAUAUGCAGGACACAUAUAAACUCAUCACUCAAUUGCAAAGUGGGGAUAACAUUACGAUAGUAAACUAUUAUAUUCCUUGUUCAUCAGAUUUGGUCCAAGCUGAUAGUGCCAUUGUCAGGCUUGGUGCUGCAAAACUAGAUUUUCAGGUGAAACACUAUCAAGCCAUGGCUAAAGAUACAGCUGAUGUCAUGAAAUACAUUCUUGAAUGUAGUAAUAGUCUUAAACAAAAUGAAACCAGUCCUUUACUUGCAAAGUAUGUUGAUCAUCUUCAACAAGGUGUUCAAGUUCUUCAAAUCAUAACAAAAUAUUUAAUUGCUGGAAAAUAAUUUUGUUUUUAUGAGAAGGGAUAAUAAAUUGCAUUGUUUCUUACUUAUUUGAAUUAGAGUUAUUUUUUUGUAUUUUAAUUUUGUCCAUGUGGUGAUAACUCAAUGAAAAUUGCGUUGUAAAAUAGUCCUUAGUGCUAAUUUAUUUAAUAAAAAACACCCUUCUCCAAUUUUCAUCAAAAUUGAAAUUAUUUUACAAGGGUACAUGGAAAUCAUCAACAAAGAUUACAUGUUAAUGUUUACAACUUACAAGGGUGCAAAGAUUACAUCAAUAAAUAGCCUAACAAUGUAGAGUUUUUAUUUAGCAAGCCGAUUGCUUGAAAAAACAUAAAAAAAUAAAAAAAAAAAAAAAAAGGGAACUUCUACGGUACACUCACAAAAUGAGGUGUACCGAUACUCUUUUUUCAUAAUUUUAUAAAUUAACGAUCAUUUUUUAUGAAAUAAAUAGCUUUUAUCAAUAUUUAUAUUUUAUAGAACAUCAUUUCACAAGAAAAAACAUCAGUUUAUUGUUUAUAAGAAGCAUAGUAUUUUUUUUACAUAUUAUCGUAAAAUAUAAUCAAUAUUGAGUGCUAAAAAUUUAAAAAAAAUAAUAAUUUUAUUUCGUUAACACUUUUGAUGAAUAAGAUUUAGUUAUUACAAAUAUAAAUGAUAGAAAAUAAUAUUUUUCUUCAAAAAAUAACUCAUUUAACCAUUAAUUUAAAGAGUGAGUGUACCGAUACACUCAAAUAUAUUGGGUGUACCAUAGAAUUUGCCAAAAAAAAAUAUUCUUCACCUAUUCUUUAUUUUCUUGCAAGUUUUUUUAACUAUAAGCACCGUUUGGACAACACAAUUUGACUUCUUUAACAACAAUUAUUUGCAUUAAUCAUUAUUGAUCGUAAUUGACCAGAAUGCAAUUAAAACAAUGAGUCCAUAUCAAAUAUUAAUAUAUACAUUCACAUACUUUUAAGUCAAUGAAAACUACUCCCUCUGUCCCAAAUUGUAUGUCGCUUUAGGAGAAAAAAUUUGUCCCAAAUUAUAUGUCGCUUUUAUAAUACCCAUGCAAUAUUAAUGUUACUUUUCCAAUUAUAACCUUAAUUAUUUAUUACUCCUUCUUCUUUCAAUUCUUUCAUUUUUCUUUCCCAUAUUAUUUAUUAAGAACAAUUUUGUAAAACAACUCAUAAUAUCUAUUUUCCACACAAUAUUAAUUGUAUUUCUUAAUAUGUGUGAAAUGCCCAAAACGUCAUACAAUUUGGGACGGAGAGAGUAGUAUAAAAUGUUUAAUAGCACUUUUUCUUACCUUUAAUAGAACUUAAAAGCUCUAUUAAACGCGCCGCUAUUGUAAGUGGAUCCUCUUUAAUAGCACUUUUAAAGUGUUAUUAAAAGCCUGAUUUUUAAUAGCAUUUUUUGAAAGUGUUAUUGUAAUAUCAUUAUAGUGCUAACAAAGAGGUCUAUUAAAUAUGAUUCAUGUUGUGUUUAAUAGCGUUUCCUUUAAAAGCGCUAUCAUAUUAUGUGUAUAAUAGCCCUUCCUUUACAAAGUGCUAUUAAGCUAGGUGCAAAAUUAUUAUAAUGAUUAGUUUGUAACCCAAAUGCAGCCAUAUUCUUUUUCAAAUUGAGAAUUUCAAAACAAUGGUUAAUAACCUAUAUUCAAUUUUCAAUGACAAAUAACAUUUCAAUUACUCAUUACAUAUGCAAUAUGAUCAAUCAAUCUGCAUUAAUCGAAAAAUCUUGUCUACAAAUACAUUAACAAAGAGGAAAUUACAUAGUCAAAAUUGUGGAUAAAAUCACAAUGCUAAAAACAAUAUUUCAAACAAAUAUUCUUUCAAAAAAAAUAUUCAAACUAAUAUUCUACUCAUAUUUCCUUAGCGUGUGUUUGGUUGUGUGGUGGAUAUAAUUGAUUUUGAUAGAAUUGAUUCCAUAUAAUUGAUUCUGAUUAAAAGUGAGUUGAGUGAAAAGUGAUUUAUGUUUGGACACCUUUACGAUAGAAGUGAUUUAUAUAAAAAAUGUUGUUUGACUAUUUUGCAUCAUAAUUGAUUUUAGAUGUACAAAUGACCAAAAUAGUUUUUUUUAUAUGUGUGCAUUUAAAAUAUAUUUCAUUUAACCUUUUUUACAAAUUUCAUUUCCAUUUCUAUUUAAUUGUUUAAUUUUAUGUUACUUUAUUAUAUUUAAUACAAUUUUAAUAAAAAAACUUUCUACAAAAAAUAGAUUAUUAAAAAAGUAUCAACAAUUAGAGAUUAUAUUUACUUUAUAAAAUUUACACAAUAGUAAAAUUAUUGGGCUCCAAAAAUCUUAUUUUUUAUGGGCUUUAAAAGAGCAAGAAACAAAAAAAUUCAAGGAAGAAAUAAAAAAAACACCGUUUACAACCGUGUCUUCUCUCCUCGAAAAGAAAUGAUAAUUAGACACAAAAUUUUAGACACAAUACCAACACCAUGGGCAAUUUUGUUAUUUCAACCUCAAAUCAAGGGCAGUUUGGUAAAACCACUACACACUCUCUUCCCUGUUCUCUUUUGUUUCUCUCUGAAUUGAAUCACCACCACCACCAUCCUCAUACCACCUCCGUCCUCCCUCCCACCACUGCGGUCACCAACCUCCGACCUCCAUCCAACACCACACCCGUCCAAUCUCUCUCUCCCUCUCUCUGAACUCUCGCCGUCAUCCAGAACUCCGCACCACCACAUCCUCCCACCGUCACAACAACCACCAUUCUCAUCAGUCAUCAUCCUCCAUCGUCGUCACCACCAUCGGUCGGAAGUUAAUCGAAGAGGGAUCAGAGGUUGAGUACGGUUGUGUGACAGAGAGAGAUUGAAGGUUGAAGAAGAAAGAGAGUGAGGGUUGCAGACUUGAAGUACAGGGGAAGAAAGAGGGAAAGAAAAAAAAAAUGAAAAUACGGUAUAAUAUAUGAAAAUACUCUACAAUGAAAUCCUUAAGAAUCUUCAAAAACACUCUCUAUUCAACUCCUUCACCCAAAAUCACCACCACCGUCUUCCGCGCUUUCUUCUCCGCCGAACCCCUCACACCGGAACCCGAACAUUCAGACGCAACCUUCGAUAGUUCUCACUACGAAAUCCCAAUCCUUAAUAACAACGACGAAAAGCCGAAGGUGACGUGGAAUAAGAAAUAUCGAGACCGAACGGAUAAACUGGUGUUCGGCGAUGAGCCGAAGGGGAGAAUAAAGUUUAAGGAGGAAGAGGAGGAGAGGAAAACAAAGGCGCUUGAGAAGGCUUUGUUGGAAGCUGCGUUGAGUAAACCCGAGGAGGAGGAGGAGGAAGAAGAUGAAGAUGUCGGUGUUGUGAAUGAGGAGGAUCAGAAGUCUUUGUCUGUUGGGAUUAUUGGUGCUCCUAAUGCUGGAAAAUCUUCUCUCACUAACUACAUGGUGAAGUUCUUUCUUUCUUUAUUGCAUUUCAAUCAUUAUGUUAUGUUAUGUUGUAGCUGAAAUGAGGAUGUUGCAUUGAAUGUUAAGACUAUAUAUGAUAAGAUUAGAAAAAAUUUCAGCUUAUUUGAACUUUUCUACUAGCAUAUGUUAUGUGAGACUGUUCGGUAGAGCUUAUGAACAUAGCUUAUAACAUUGUUCAUAAGUUUUCCUGCAUAGCUUAUGAAAACAGCUUACAUGGAAACAAUUAACUUUAUUUUAUCAUUGCCAUAGAAAUAGCUUAUAUAUAAGCGUUUGUGCUAUAAGCUGUUUAUCCAAACAGAGCCAUCAACAUAAACGUACUAUUUAAGGUUGUUAAAAAGUGCCCUUAGGGCACUCGUUAGCAUUUCCCUUUCUUUAAUAGGGAGCAUUUGAGAGGUUUUAGUUAGAGAAGUUGGUUCUUUCUCCGAAAUGGAGCUAUCUAUUAGUUUGAUUUUAUUUGCAUCUUCUAAAUAGCUUGUUCCACUCAAUAUUAUCAUGUUCUAUUUCUGUUAUUUUCUGUUUCUGCUCCACUCACAAUCUUGAUAACCUCUUCAUGAUCUCUGGUUGUAACUUAUGAGGAACAUUUCCAUUUAUAUUAUUAUUAGUUUAAAUUUCAAUCAGCAUUUGGUUCAUAACAUUUCUAAAUAUGAUUUAUGUUAUUUCUGAUUUAUCAUCAUAGGUUGGAACAAAGGUGGCGGCUGUUUCACGUAAGACAAACACCACAACUCAUGAAGUUGUGGGCGUGUUGACUAAAGGAGACACCCAAAUUGUGAGUAACUUGGCUGUAUAUUUUAUUUCGUCGUGUGUAAAAGGGAAUGCUGAGGUUACAACAGAGGCUUAUGCUAUUAUGCUUUAGAAAGUAGUAGAUGCAAUAAAUUGGUAUUCUUUCGAUGCAGAGUAUAAGAGUUUUGCAUCUUAGUCAGAUAUACUUGAACUAUAUCAAUUAUGUUUGACUGGUAAAGUAUUCAAUAGUAUCAGUGAAGGUCAUGAACCGUCGAUAUAUGCAUGAUUGAUUCCAAUGAAACAUGGUUUUUUUGUGCUUUUGCAUAGAUUUCAUUAUGUAAAGUGAAAAAAAGAUCAUAUAGCAAAUGUGAAAAUAUAUCUGUGCUUUAGAACUGGUAGUGUCAUUUUAAAACAAAUUUAACGCUAGUUAUAUAUCAUUAUUGUAUACAUCAUUUUGCCAAUUGCAAAAUACAAUUACAAUUUUUUUUUAUUUAUUUAAUUAAUUUAUUUAUAAAAAUUUUUUUUUGUUUUUAUAUGCUUAAUUUGGAUUUGAAUGAGUCAAAUUAUUGGAAAGAAAAGGUGUUUCAAGAAGUUCCAGCUUAUAAUAAAUGAAGCCACUGCUGCUUUUUUCUUGAAUAAUUAUAUAGAUUAUGAAUGAAGAGAUCAUGUAAACCUUUAUCCUAGGCAUCCUGUUAAAAUCUGGUAUUGCUGCCCUACCAAAUUAAUAUCACUGCUUCAUUUUUUUCUCAACAUGCCCUACUCCCGUGUAGUUCUUGCCUUUUGUCAUCUGUGUUUGGUUUGUUGACUAUAUUAGUAUAUUUACUAAAACCUUUGGAGAUUCACUACUUUAGCCAUGAUCUUACUGUUUCAUUAUGUUGUUUUAUGAUGGGUUUUUAAUUUGACAACGCAGUUUACAUGGUCACAUAUUUGCACUGAUCAUUUUUUCUCUAUGCAGUGUUUUUUUGAUACGCCAGGGCUCGUGCUAAAUUGUAGCGGAUUCCCUUAUAAGGAUGCCAAAGCUCGUGUUGAAAGUGCUUGGAGUUCAGUCAAUCUCUAUGAAGUGCUCAUAGUCAUUUUUGAUGUCCAUAGACAUAUUACUAGGUAAAGUGUUUUGUUUAAUCUGAGGAAAUACUCUGACUGUGGAUUCUACGGUGAGGUGUACCACUAUACCAUUGGAUUAAAUAAGACCAUAUGAUCUCCUUAUUCGUGACCACACUGGAUCUAAUAUCUCUUACCCUUCCUUUCUCUCGCCUACCAGAUCUCAUUUUGCUGCACACUGAAUUGAAAAAAUGGAAAGAUAAUACAAACUGAAAUAAAAUUAAAACAAGUUUAGGGAAGUUUUAAGAAAUAAAAUUAAUGAGGAAUGAAACGAGGGAUUUUGACAGGACGAUGAAUUCAAGUAGGAAUUUGAUUUCAAAUGAGUUCAGUUGUAGGAAUUAGGCUUUUCUUUGGGUUUAGUUUUUGGGUAUUAGUCUCAUAUGCGUUGUUGUUUUUCUGCGCGACGUUGAUAUCUUCUACCCAUACACUACCAGAGCAUUAUUCAUUCGAGAGAAAAUGAAAGAUAUGAUUUAGAUCUGAAGGCAAAAUGAUUGGAACUUGUGGGGUUUAUUUUGUGAACUGAGGAGUAAAUAUUCGUAUGUGGUUGUAGAACAAUCGAAGCCCGGAGCCGUUGUUCCGGUACGUCGUUGUGCUGCGGCGAAAUGAGAUGUGUUAGGCGGAGAGAAAGAACUGGUUGCAGAGAAGAUAUUAGAUCUGGUAUGCUCAAAAAUAAGGAGAUCCUAUAGUCUUAUUUAAUCCAAUGGUCAAAUAUAGUGUGGUACACCGGUGCUGCGGUGAUGGAUUUAAUUGACCCCCCACCUUAGAAUCCACCUACUCUGACAUUUGUGUUUAAACUUUUUUUAUUUUUAUUAAUAUUUUAAAUUUUUCCCCGAAAAUUCCAUACGAAACUCGUGUUAAAAUUGUUUACCCUGAAUCUGGUCAAAAGCCUAUAAAAGUGACUGCAUUGUUGCUAACUUGGCUUCAUUUGCCACUUAAAAUGGUUAUCAAGAGAUCUGUUAUUAUAACUUUCCCAACUUUUCUCUAUUAUUUAUCCAAGCAAAGAUGGCUAUAGACGUCUUGCGCGGAUUAACUUAUGACAAUAGAUAAGAUACUUGAAUCUACAGAAAGUUUGAUUUGAAUGCCGAGUAUAUAUUUUCUUGCUUCUUUGUUAGUCUUCACCUCAUCUUAGUCAGUCAUUGAUUUAUUAAAUCUUGUUGUCUGCUUAACUUAUAGCUGGGCAUGGAUUUUCUUGCUUCUUCGGUCCUUCAUACAGUAAUCCCUAGUGUGAUGUAUUAGGGUGUCGAUGGGUCAUUGGUACCCAAGCAGUAUGAAGCACCAACACUCAAAGGUUUAGGUGUGUCCGCAUGUUCGACAUGUUGCAGACACUGAUGUCUGUUUGAUUCUUAUACAACACGUGUUAGUAUGUCAAAAACCUCAGACAAGUGUUAUACAUUCUUCCAUUCUUUUAAUGUUAUACAAUAUACAUUUAUUGUUCUUUUCAUUAUUAGUGAUCCCAUUCCGUUUUUUAACAUUCCAUCAAUAUAGGCCUGAUUCAAGAGUUGUAAAACUGAUCAAGCGAAUGGGAGAACGGUCCAUUCCAAAUCAAAAGCGAGUUUUGUGUAUGAAUAAGAUUGAUUUAGUAGAGAAAAAGAAAGACUUAACGAAGGUUGCAGAAGAAUUCGAAAAUCUUCCUGGAUUUGAAAGGUAAGGUCUUUUUGCUGUUGUUUGAAGAUUAAGGGAAACACUGGUCUGCAGUGUGAGUUUGAUUUUAAUAUUUUUGUAGAUUGACUCUACUUCUUAAACUUGCUUCUAUUGGCUAUUUUAUUAUUUAGGCGUUUCAUGAUAUCUGGAAUGAAGGGGGCUGGUGUAAAAGAUUUGACUCAGUUCUUGAUGGAGCAGGCAUGUAUCUUUCUAUGUCUGCUAUAUAUAUUAGUUGUAUACAAAUUAUAGUAUUGGUAACUUCAAGGAAACAUCAAUGUUCUUUUCUGGGUGUAGCAAGACUGUCCCACCUUCAAUUAUAGAAUCACAAUUCUUUUUUCCUUCUACCAUGCAUAUGAAUUUGUUUUUCUUACAAUUAGACUUUUUUUUUUUUAAUUAUAGUUGUCCUGUUAUCUUGCAAACUCCAAGACUUAACACUGGAUUUUAAUUGUUUGUUAUGCAAUAGGCAGUAGAACGGCCCUGGGAAGAAGAUCCUUUUACCAUGACCGAGGAAGUUAUGAAAAUGAUAUCAUUAGAAGUUGUGCGUGAAAGUUUGUUGGACCAUGUACAUCAGGUAAUUGUUGAAUUCACUUGUUCUUCUAAUUGAUAGCUAGAAUUUGUGUCUGAGUAUGCUGUAGGAUUAUAUAAUAGUGUUUAUUGGCUCACAAUUUUCUCAAUUCAGGAAAUUCCAUAUGAUAUUGAACAUAGGUUGAUUGACUGGAAAGAGUUGCGAGAUGGUUCUCUUAGGAUUGAACAACACUUUCUCACUAACAAAUUAGGCCAACUCAAGAUUCUUGUGGGGAAGCGUGGCUCAAAAAUUGGGUAACUUCUUUCUUCUGUCUUUCCUUUUUGUAGUUUAACAAAUUUUAGUUCGUUGUUCUCGCAAUUUCACCUAUUUUAGAUAUUACUUAUUGGAGCGUACUAAUUUGAGUUUAGGCAUAAACUAUGGGAAAACCGUAUAUAUCUCCAUCUUUUUCUGUUAUAUAUAUGGCUGUGCCAUUUUCCAUAUGUCAAAACUUUUUGAGUAUGAAGAUUAGACAGGUUCAUCUUGUUUCUUUGUUGGACUCAGAUGGAAUUGAUGACCUUUUUGGUCGAUUAAAGUUUCUAUAAGGUUUUUUCUCGUUAUUUUUAUCCAUCUUAGGAUUUACCUCUUAUUUACUUCAGUUUCUUGUUUGAGUCUACCUCCCCAUCUCAUGCCCUAAUUAAUCCUUCUCCCAUGAAGGGGUGUAUGAUUAGGAUUCUUUUCUCUACCUUGCGAGUUGCGACCUUUAAAUGAAAAGUUGCUUUGGCGUCAUUAUUCGGAAGUGGUAAACAUUUGUUUGUUCAUGUUUGUUUAACAGGAGAAUAGGAAUAGAAGCUAAUGAAGAGCUAAGGACCAUUUUCAAAAAGCAAGUGCAUCUAGUUCUUCAGGUUAAGCUCAAAUGAUUAACGAGGCGAAUAUCUUUGGCAUUCAGAAGAUACCUUUUUUGCCACACACCAUGUUAUGCAUGUAAAAUGCCAAAGGGGUGUGUGAAUUACACUGACCUUUGAAGUCGUUGAAGCUUCCAUAACCUUGCUUGAGAACAGGGUCAUCAUAGAUAAAAUAAGUGCUCUGGAAGAAACAAGUGAUCUCACGCCGGCAAUUUGUUAUGCCUUUUAGUAUUUGAUUGCUGAAGUUUAAGAACUCAAAUUUGUUUAAAGUUUAUGGUUGUUUAUGAAAAUUGAAAGGAAAUUUCAGUUUUUUUUGUUCAUUCAAAUUUAUUGACUUAUGUUUUAUACAAAACACAACUAGGGCAUUUGGUUGUAUGAAAAUGGUGAGAUACGAGUUUGGUUAUUGUGCAAUGUUAUUUUCUGUAUAGAAAUUUUGAUGAUAAAAUUUUGGUUGUCUAUUUGCUUUGCGUUUUUUUAUAUGUCAACCGUAAUCGAUGUUGGAAUAAUUUGUUGUGAAAGAAGCUAUUUGUGUUUAAUCAUGAUGAUGUUUUUAAAAACAACUGAAUGAUUAAUUGAAAAAAGUAAAACAAUUUUAAGUUUCUCAAUCAUUUCUCCUUCUAGCUUGUUUGCGUCCUAAGCUAAAAUGGUUGUGAUUUUGAAGAAGGUAAACUAACUCAUUUAAAUUAGCACCGAACCUGAGACCUUGAGAAAGAGUAAACGAGUUCAUGACUUUGAGCGAGUGUCACCAUAUUUUUUCAAAAAGUUAUUAUUUAUUAUCAUUUCAACUUAUUUUUCACUAUCACUACUAGGCUAAAUAUAACCCAAUAUUCCUAAAAAAAAAAUAUAACCACAAUAAUUUGGACGGAUUUUUUAAGUGGUCAUCAAACAUUUUAACUGCAUAUAAUUGGAAUUUUAUCUUUGAAUCAGAUUUUUUUGUUGAGGUAGAUGCUUUUUUAUUGAAUAAAUAAAUAAAAAGCAAAUAAGAGAUAAAUAAAAUAAAUAAAAUAAUAAUUUUUUACCAUGAAGACAUUUUUACUCCUUAAAUAAAAUAAUAAAUAAUUUUACAUAGAAAAUGAAAUAUCGUCACUUUCCUCUCAGAAAUCUUCACUAAUACUCGCAAACAUUUUCCCUCAUCUCAAUAAGAAGUCAACAUUUCUUAUAAUCACUAUCACUAAACACACAGUUACUACCAAAACCAUAACAAAUUGCUAAUACAACUCUCUUACAACAAAACCAAAAAUCAACAAGUCUUGUAAUUCUAAUUCCCGUUUUGUUUGAACGAUAUGGUUGAAAUUGUUCAAAUGGUUUUUGUGUGAUAGAUAGAGUGACAGUGGCUUACAAAUUUUAUAACUAUUGACUUUAGUCAAACGGCUAACUUAAUUACUAGUAUAAAACAAAAAACUCAUAGUAUAUACUAUGUUGGAUAAAAAAUUGACAAGUAAGUUUAGAACGGAUAAUUCAUAAUUGAUACUCCCUCCAGUCCUAUUUACAAGAGAAAAUUGACUUUUUAGAUACAUUGAAUAAUGUAUGUAUCUAGUUAAGAACCUAAACCAAAUACAUAAAUUAUUUAUGUAUCUAAAAAAUAAAUUGUCUCUUGUAAAUAAGAUCGGAGGGAGUAAUUUUUUUUUAAGAAGUCAAAAUAGUUUAACGAAAUAUUCAUUGAAAAAAAUCGAAGUCUAUUAAAUUUUCAUUGAAAAUAACCAAAUACGAGGCUUUUAGAGGAGCACGCUUUAAUGUUUAUUUGAGAGUUUGAAAUGGAGGGGAAGAAAAGACUUUGGGGAACAAAAAUAUAGGGGAAAAUUGAGGAGGGUUUUAUAUUUUAAAGAAAAAUAAGUUUCCCAAAGCCGUUCCUCCCAACGUCUUCUAUUUGUUCCAUCCAGUCCUUCCUUUUUUUUUUUUCCAAACCAUUCUCUCCCUUCUCCUCCAAACUCGCAAAAAAAGUUAUUGAAGCUUUUUUUGCGAGUUUGGAGAGGAAUGAAGAGAAUUGGUAAGUUAUUUUUCCACCUACUACUUGAAUUAAGAUUUUAAAAAAGUUUAUAAGUUUGUAAAAAUAAGUAAUAAGCUUGUGAAAAUAUGAUUGUUACAAGUAGCGGCGAAGCUAGAGAAAAUUUUACACGGGGCCAAUAAACAAAAAAAAUUAUUUUUAAAACCAGCAUAUGAAAUUUAAGGAUAAAAUAUAUUUUUUGUCCCAUAAAUUAUAAUUUUAUAGGUUUAAUCCUUACAAAAAAAUUUAUUCAAUUUUUGUCUCAUGGUUUUAUAAUUUUACAAAAAAAAAGUGUUUUUAGUCUUGCAUUAAUCUCUAUAACAAUAAAUUAAGGACUAAAAUUAAACAAAAUGUUAGGAACUUAACUUCAAAAUUGCGAGUGUUGUAGAUACUAAAAAUAAAUUUAAUCUAAAACUUAAUUGAUUCAUAAAAAAAAUCACAAUAAUUCUGGACAAAACAUGUUUUAAGAAGUCAAUUUUAUCCAUAAUUGAUUGUUUAAUAAAAGAUUACUAAUGUCUUUUCAAUGUAAACAAUAGGUUAUUUGUAAAGAACUUAUUAUCUAUUUCAUUUGUUUCUCACUAUUGUUGUUGAAAUUUUCUCUGACUAAAACUAACAAACCAUACAAAUAAAUCUAUCAAUGAUGUAGUACUUUUUCACUUUCUUAUUUAUGUUAAUUUUCGGCAACCAAACUUAUUUGGGGUAGCUCAAUAUUUAUUAUUUGGGGUGGCUAAAUAUAAAUAUAUACCAACAAAAUUCAAGAAUAUUUUUUCUUUUGGGGUAGCAAGGGCUACCCCAUCAUCAUGAAGGGAACCGCCCCUGGUUACAAGACGUGUCUUUAUAGUCAUAUGAGCUUAUAUACACCAUGACGCCUUUCGAUUUUUUUAGUAUAGAGCCUUACACGUUUAAGCGACUGCCCUUGACUUUUGUUAAUUGUCAUUGCAAAUGAUACAGUCAAAGGAAAUUGUCUUCGUUGAAACUUAAAGGGAAUCCUGACAUCCAGUGGCGGAGCCCUUCAAGGGUUGGGGUGGCCACGGCCCACCCGAAAAAAUUAAAAAAUCAACGAUUAUAGGUCUAAAUUGCGAGAUUUUAUGCAAUUUUGUAUUGGUUUUAUGUUUUGGUUGAUCCAAAUUCCUGCAAAGUGGUGUAGUGGCCCACCCGAAAAUUUAAAUAAUUCAAUUAUAGAUCUAUUUUGUGAGAUUUUAUACAAUUUUACGUCGGUUUUAGGUUUCGGUUGAUCCAAAUUUCCGCAAAUUGGUGUAGUGGUGCACCUGAAAAAUUUAAAUAAUUCAAUUAUAGGAUCUAAUUUGUAAGACUUUAAACAAUUUUUCAAUAGUUAAUUUUAGUGGCCCACCCUGACAUUUUUUUCUGGCUCCGCCACUGCUGACAUCUGAAGGCAAUAGAGAUAGCAUGGAUACAAAAACCUAACCACCAACAUUACUUCUGGAAAUAACCCUCUCCUCAAUGACGUAUCUUCCCAUCCUAGUGAUAACUAAUUUGGUUCCAUUGCAUAAUCCAUAUCGUGGAUCUAUAUUUCUCAACAACAUAACUGGCACACCAACCUUUAACCUUAAUCUGUGAUUAGGCAGUCCAGAAGCAGUGACGGUGUUGAGGAAUUCGGGUGUAUGAACAUCGUCAAUAUGAUCACCGUUUAAGUUACGCUGAAUAGGUGAAUCAUAACUCAAGUAAACCUUCUUCUCACCUGGAACAUGUCCAACAUAUAGUCGUUGAUCUUCUUGACUAUGGAAUUUUUUGUUGUCAAUAUAGCUCUAUUUUGAAAGUAAGUUAUGUCACUCAUGCUCUCCAAGAUGUUAGGAUACAUGCUUUCAACAAUAGCAGCAAGAGGAUCUCUUGCGCUUUCUAUGAGCAAAUAUGACGAAACAACAAUGGUCUUGUACACUUCAUUGUCUUCCCCUAUUCGUCCAUCGCCUAUACUUAAAACCCAUUAUGAAAAUUGUCUUUUCGCCUCAAAUUCCUCAUGUUCUUAAUCAAGGUAAGAACCUCACAAUGAUUCCAUAAUUUUGAAGAAUUGAUAGUAGCAUGAACGAUUUCUGGUCUUCUGCCUUUAGGAAUUACAUGUAAUAUCUGCCUAAAAUCUCCAUCAAAUACAACGACUUUACCUCCAAAAGGGAUGUAUUUUUUUCUCUUAUCCAUCUCCUUCAUAACGUCUCUGAAAGAACGAUCAAGUGCUUCAAAGCAAAAUUUGUGCAUCAUCGGAGCCUCAUCCCAUAUUACUAAUCUUGCUUGGACUACCAACUGAGCCAACGGGGUAUUAGGUUUGACAUUACACGUGGAGCAUUCAUCGAUAAUAAAGGGAAGGUCAAAUCCCGAAUGUGCGAUUCUCCCUCCUGGUAUUAAUAAUGCAGCUAUACCACUUGAAGCAACUGUUAAAACUAUUUCCCCUCUUGAUCGUAUCGCAACCGACAUUGCUCUCCAAAGAAAUGUCUUGCCUGUUCCGCCGUAUCCAUAUAGAAAAAAAUAAAACACAACUUAAAAUAAAAUAGAAACGACAACUUAGGAAGGAAAAUGACAACUUAACAUGUUCUGUGUCCUGAAAAAUAACAAGUUAGGAAGAAGUUAGGAAGACAACACCCUAAAAUGAUGUUAUGACAUCACCUUAAAAUGAUAGUUUUCCUAAAAAAUAAAAAAAGAGCAAGAGGUUAGGAAGGAAAACGACAAAUUACAUCUUAUGUGUCGUACUCAACUAUGUAUGUUCUGUACUUCAAUUGAAGCUUGGUGACAGUCUUGUCCAUCUCAGUAACAGGAUGAGUCAUCAAAGGACCUACCAAAUCAAUGGAAAACAACAUGUUACAAAAAGUAUGACAAAAAAGUUAUAGGGUGAUAACAUGUUAUGCAAGCACUUUGAAUUGUGACUCUUUAAAAAUUAAACCUGUCACUUAAAAGUUAUUCUCAAGUUGAAAACUUGGAGUGGUUAAGUUAACAAACAGACUUCAAAACAUUCUGAAGUGUUAGUAUAAAAACAGUUUAAAUAAUUAAAUGUGUUUGUGUGUGUUGUGUUUAUUGUAAGUAAAUAGUAAAGAGAAGAGAAGAAGAACACACAGAAAUUUAUAUUGGUUCCCCCAAUGUGGGUUAGUCCACUCCUCACAGUUUUGUGAGAUUUUCCACUAUGAUGCUUGAGAUAACUUCUCAAAUCCUGCACCUUACAACCUUGUUCACCUGAACAAUUACAACAACUGUAUUCUCUUAGCCUCAGCAGGCUUAUACCUUUCUUGCUAAGUUACCCACUUAGACUUUACACCUUUCUGCUCAAACUAACACUUUAGUACCCCUAAAGCUAUAUGAGACUUUGUUUACAAUUUGUAUGGAGUUUGAAUGAUAUAGAUCAGAUAAGAGAAAUAUUGAUUUACACUUUUGAAGACUUCUUGGAAUCUUUGUGAUGAUCAAUAUUUUUUGCUAAAGCUUCAAACACUCUUAUGUUGUUUUCUUGUAUGCUUUGCAAAUGUGUGUGUUAUGCUGAGGUCUUGAUCUCUAUUUAUAGAGUUCUUGAGCCUUUGUAGCCGUUAGAGAGUGACCACUGGUCUUAUGCCACGUGUCCUGGGACCCACCAACUUUCACUUGAAAUUCUGGGCAAACUGAAAUACUUCAGAAUGUUGUUGUGUUCAUCAUGAUCUUCAUCUGGGUUCAUGUGGAUGAAUGGUUAGAUAUGCAUCUGGGCUUUUGCAAAUGAAUGUCACAUGAAUUUCUGGAUUGUACUUGAAGAUUUGCUUUGUACGACUUCAGAAUGUUGUUAGAUCAGAUCUUCUUUGAAAUAUGUCUAGGAUCGCGUGCAGGAUCUCAUAAAGUGGUGUUGUCACUUCACUUCCAUGCUUUAGGGGAUUUGGUUUGCUUUGUACAGUACCAACUCCCUUACGUGUCGAAAUCUUGUUGAAUCAGAUUUGAUCUUGCUUUUGACUUUCCAACCACUGUACUGUUCAUGUCAGAAAAAGCAUGGAGCAAGAUCGAACUUUCUGAACUUAGGGGACUUCAGAAUGUUCCUUUUGUUUCACUUAGGAUGAUUUGUAAGACUCUUAAUUGAUGUAAUCAAAUCCUAAUAUUGAAACAUUUAUGAAGUGCAGCAUGGAAAACAUCUAGGAUGAUAUUCUUAAUGGAAUAUUCCUAAUGUUUUGUACUUCAAAUGUUCAUAGUCUAGAAUGAACAUUGAAGAUGUCCUUUUUGACUUUAAUCAAAUAAAUGCCUUUAUUCCUUGAUUGAUCUUAGUCAAUGUACUUUACUGGGCUUUUAUUUAAGUCACGUGAACCUUGCAUGUUCUUCAUUUGGUUCAUGAAUUUCUGGGCUUGACUCUUGAUGUUCAUCAUGAACAACCUUCUGAACUCUCUUUAACUUUCUGAACUCUGACUGAGUUCUUUAAGUCUUUAUGUCCUUUGAUUCUUUGUAUCUUGGUAUAAAUUGAAACUUUUUCCUGUCUUAGUUAACCACUCAAGAGCACAAGUUAAAUACCAACAAAUUAAUCAAAGUCCAUUACUUCCUUAAUCAUCAAGGUUUGUUAACUUUAAAAUUAAUUAGGGAUUUGGCCUCAACAUAAGUUGCUGCAAACCUAAUAAAAUUAAUAAAUAAGGAUAAUAAUUAUAAUUAAUAUAAUAAUAAUAAUAAUAAUAAUAAUAAUAAUAAUAAUAAUAACAAUAACAAUAAUAAUAACUAGACCUACACCCGUGUGUCGCACAAGUUGAGUCUGAUGUAAUAUCAUAUGCCCUUAGUAAAAUUAAGUCAUUUUUGGCAUAAAAAAUAAUAUCUACCAAAAUUCUUGUGCAUUGAAAUUAGAAGACUCAAUGAAUUGAAUGUUAAAUUGAUUGAAAGUGGAAAAGAUAUUGAAAAGAAAUUAAACUUUGUUUGCACGGUUUUGUAUAGCUUCACAUAUAACUAUGAAAUUGAUUAUUAUUACUUUUAUAGUUAUAUUCAGUUUUAUGUUAUCAAACUACCUCAAAAAGCAAUAAAAAUAAAAGAUGAACUGCAAUAAAAAAGACAGUUCAAAAGAAAAAAUAUAUACAAAAGUCUGCACCAAAAAAAUUGGUCCUAACCGCAAAGGUUGUUAAAUCUAUAAAAAUGAAAGGGAAUAGAAACUGCUACGUGGUAAUCGAAAGAAAAAAAUAAUAAUGAAAAGGAAUUUCUAUGUGGUUACCGAAAGCAAAAAUAAUAAUAAAAAGGAAUCUUUAUAUGAUAAUUGAAAGAAAAAAUAAUAUUGAAAAGAACUGCUAAAAAAAAGGAAUUGCAAUGACGUUAGUGAUUUUUUAAAAAAUGAAUUUUUCUUGUGCUACCUGAUUCAAUUCCUUGCAUACCUUUUUUUCAUUAAAAUUUAUUAGGCCCGUCAAAAAGGGCAGGGUUAUGGUUAUUAGGUUCAAUUGCAUGAUGGUGAGAAAUGAUUUAGGGAUUGUGACAUUGAAAGAAAUAGGACCCAAGAUUUGCAUUGAAUACGUAACAUUGAAGCAACAUAUGUCAUCAAAAACAACAGUGCACCGAUGGUAAGAGUUGUGAAUUGGAAUCUUGUGGUAGUCGUAAGAUAAACAAAGAUCCACAUUAAUCAACGCCUCAAACGCAAAAACCAUCUUGGAAAUCAAACUAUGUUACGAUGAGGCACAAUUCAUAUAGUCUUCUAACUGAACAAGGUGAACCUUCAACUUUCAAGAGGCGUUAAACAGUUAAAAUGCUUCUUAAUGGAUGAUAACAACGCAUGAAGAUAUGAAGGACUUACAUAGAAACAAGACAUCUGAGCUUGUUGAAAUGCUUCUUAAUGGAUGAUAAUAAUGCAUGAAGAUAUGAAGGACUUACAUAGAAACAAGACAUGUGAGCUUGUUGAACUUCCAAAAGGUCAAAAAGUCAUUCGAAACAAAUGGAUAUACAAGAUCAAAUGUGAGGGUUGUGAUCAAGUGAAACCGUAUCGUCCAAGACUCGUGGUAAAUUAAUAUGCUCAGAAAGAAUUAACUGAUUUUUAUAUUAAAAUUUAAUAAAUCAAUAUAUUAAUUAUUAAAAAAGGUUGCUAUGGCUGACCGCCAGCGGGGCUGGUCAAUAGUGGUCAACAUUAGAGCUCUAGUGACAACCACGAUGGAGUAUAGCGGCGUUCUGCCGAAAAAUAAUUAUUUUUGGCGACUUGCUGUAGAGCUUCGAUGAGUCCAUCCAACAGCGUGUGGCGGCAGUCCACAGGGUUGGUGGAGCUCCAGUGGCCAUGGUGGCCAUUUUUUAAAGAUAUGUUAUUAAAAUUAAAAUAUAAAUAUUAUAAAUUAAUUUAUAAAUUAGUUUGUGUUUAUUUACAAAUUUAAUUUUAAUUGUUUUUGGUACGUGGGCCCAAAAUAAUUUUCUUAUCCAUUGAAUUUAUUAUUAAUAUUUGAGAAGUUGAUCCAUUGAAUUUUUAAAAUAAGUGGAUGAAUUGAAUCUAUCCAUAUUUUAAAAAAGAUGGAUUGAAUCUAAUCCAUUAACUGUUUUUUUUUUAUUAAUGGAUGAAUUGGAUGAAUUUAGUGGAUCAAAUUUCCACAUCUAAAAUAUAGAUAUAAAGUCAAAGCUAAAAGUUCUUUUAGAUCAAAUUAUGAAUCACUUCACAUUGCUAUUUUGACUAAUUUAAUUAGUUCACAUUUAAAACCUAUAAUAGAAUAUAAAGUACUUAAAUUUCCUUAUAUGAAACUUGCCUUUUAAACCUUAUUUAUAUGUUGUUUUGCGACACCUAAAUUACUAAACUGGAGAGAUGAAAAUAUCAGAGGUUUACUUGCUUGUUACCAUGUUUUUGUUGUUUUUGACUCUUAAUGCGGCUGAUUUUGGUAUGAUGCCAAGAGGUCUUGUUAAGGGGUCGCGACCUAAUCCAGUAUUUCCUGAUUCUCCACCUCCACCACGAACUCCUAUAAAUUUGAAUUUUGGUAUGUUGCUAAAAGGUCAUGUUUCGUGGUCGGGACCUAGUAGAGGAUCAUCUGAUUCUGUGACCUAGUAGAGGAUCAUCUGAUUCUCCACCUCCACCACGAACUCCUACAAAUUUGAAUUUUGAUAUGUUCCCAAAAGGUCAUGUUCCGUGGUCGGGACCUAGUAGAGGAUCAUCUGAUUCUCCACCUCCACCACAAACUCCUACAAAUUUAAAUUUUGGUAUGUUGCCAAAAGGUCACGUUCCAUGGUCGGCACCUUCACCACGAACUCCUACAAAUUUGAAUUUUGGUAUGUUGAAGAUAUGAGAAAUAAAAGUUGUAGAAUGCUUGAAUUUAUAUUUAUUAAAUAAAAUAGUGGUUAUAUACAAAAGUUUAUUGGCAUGAUAUGAAUUAGACUUAAACAAUAUGAUAAAAUAUAGAUGUUUCCUUACAUUUCGGUUCUUUUGAAUGUGAGUGAAUUCCACGAAAAAAGAGAGAAACUACGGUACUACGAUAUUCCGAUUAGAAACGUCAACAUUAAAACAAAUGACCAACUACCUCUAAAAAAAGACUAACUAACUACUCAAAGAACAUGAUUGGACAAAAACCAUUAUAUUUAAACACUUAAUUUUUUUUUUUAAGGAACACCUCAUAUUUUUAUAUAUUCAUUUAACAAAUCAUUUUAUUUAUAUCUUUUAGAAAUCGUGGUUGGGCCUAACACAACCCCACAAAACCGGUUUGUGAGGUGAGGAUUGUCCCACUUAUAAACACAUUGUCAGACCAUCACCUAUCCGAGGUGGGACUCUUAACAAUAUCUCUCAUGAUCUAUACACCUAUAUAUGGAUGCACACGCAUACAUUUUCAUGACCUAAAACUUUUGCAAAUAGAUUAUUUUCACAAAAGAAGUUGCAGAUUUUCACAUCUCAUUCAAUUUCACUUAAUCUUCAAAUUAUUAGUAACAACUAUAAAUCAACACCACCUUUGUAGGCCGAUUAAAAUUUUUGUUGUCACUUCCAAAUCAACAUAGAGUUCAACGAAUUUGAGAAAUUAAAAUUUGAAGUUUGAAUUUUGUACUGAAUCUAGACCUAGAAAUCAAAUCUAGAGCUCUUUUUUGUGGAGAAACUUUUUAUUAUGUUUUAAACAUGCAUGUUAAAAAAACUAUUAAAUACAUGUUCACUUGACAGCAAUGAUUAAAAUAGUGUGCAUGAACAUUUAGUUAGGACGACAAAGUUCUAUUUUUUUUAUGUGGACGAAAACAUACUUAACCAUUUUUUGAAUUCCCUAUUAUUAUAAAAACAUGUAUUUUAAGGAAAUAUUUUUACUAGAUGUAAUAAUACUUAUUUAAUAUAUAAUAAAAUCAGUUUAUUUUAAAGAUAUGGCAUAGUUUGCAAUCAUUAUUAUAAAACACUCAUUAUCCUCAUAGCUGAAUGCUUCCAGCACAAACUGUUUUAAAAAAUUACAUUCCUUCCUUGCCUCGCUCUUCAACAAUACUUUGAUUAUUUCACUGAGGUCCAAAGCAACUACAUUGCAAAUAAUAUAAGUGUCAUUAAUAAUGUCCUUUAGUAACAAUAUACAAAUUUUUAAUAAAUUAUAGGUUAUCAAAAAGGAAUUUAGAACUCUAUAUGUACCUUUGUUCUUAGUUGAUAUUGUAAUCUCUCUAGAGGUUAUAAAAAAUUACAGGAAAAACCACAUUAAUGGUUGAAGUACAAGUUUUACCAUCUUCAUCCAAAAUCAAGAAUUUCAGUCCUUUUUUUGUUGGUUACUCUUGAUACAACAAUAUAUAAAUUGUCCAUGUGUAACACAAGUCGAGGUAGAUACAACUCAACCUUAGACAAUGAUUACCCUUGACAUUUUGUUGGAAAAUCUGAAUGGAUAGCUAGAAUUAGAGGGAACCAAAUCUAUUCUUGGAAUUAAAAGCCUUUCACCAAUACUCUUACCAGUUAUGGCGGUUGCAAUGAUUGUGUAAUUAUUUUCAAGAUGAUUAACUUGCAACCUUGUGUCAUUGCAUAAUCCCAUUGCUUGAUCAAUAUUUCUCAAUAACAUGAUGGGAACUCCAACCUUCAAGGUCAAGCAAUGAUUUGGUAUUCCAAAACAUUUUAUAUUAUUCCAAAAGUUUUUUUUUUUUUUGUUGAGGUAGAUGCUUUUUUAUUGAAUAAAUAAAUACAAAGCAAAUAAGAGAAUAAUUUUUUUUUUAUCCCUUCAAUAAAAUAUUAAAUAAUUUUACAUGUAAAAUGAAAUAGUGUCACUUUUCUCUCCAAAAGCUUCACUCAUGCUCACAAACAUUUUCUCUCAUCUCAAUAACAAGUCAACACUUCUUAUAAUCACUAUCACUAAACACAAACAAUUACUACUAAAAUGACGCAUAAGUGAAGCAAGGAUUAGCAAACGCUAAACCUAAAAGAUAAACAGACAAGUUGCAAGCUACAAACCUGUCAAAAAAAAGUUUUCGGAAUCCACUAGAAUUAAGAAAAGUCUAGAUAAUUUUAUUGAAUGGAAAACUGUCUCUUAGGCUACGAAUGUUUAGCUUAAAUACUAGGGAAAUAACAAACUCUAAUGAGCCGAUAAUAACAAUAUUAAACGAAAAACAGAAAAAUAAUCAAGUUGUGUUGAAAUAAUAAAAAUCGGGUUUUGGGCCUUCAGAUGACCUUGAAUGGCUAAAUUCACCCUUACAUCGUGGAAAAUCGACGAGUUAAGCUCGUGAGCAAAUUCCUUUUCCGAAAACGUAUAAUUCGAGUCAAUCGUACACCAGAUACCAAAUCUGCAUUAUUUCUAUUGAGCCUUUCUUGCACGCCGCUUCGUCUUCAAUAUGUAUAGCCAGUUUGCCUACUUCACAAAACCAUAACAACAUUGAUCAUAUACCUCUCUUACAACAAAACCAAAAUACAACAACUAUUCUAAUUCAAUUUAGGUAUUACGGAACCAGAAGAUGAAACAUUAAGAAGAUUAUAACAAUUCCUAGCCAAAUUAACACACUCAACGCAAUGCAAAACCUCAACAUUCAAAUCCCUCUCACCAACAACAUCCGUAACAGUUAUAUGCACCCCCUUUUAUACUUAGUAACCCUCCCUCUAACCCUAGCAACAGCUCCAACCUUCACCACUUCCGCCAACCUCGCAGUAGCAUCAACAAGAAGACAAAGAUCUGAGGACUACGCCAGCGAGCCAAGUGAGGUGAGGUCAUGUGGUUGAGCCAAAGAAUGAAAAUGAAAUGGUUUGGUUUGGACUUUUAGGUUGUUUCUUAUGUGAUGAAUGAUGAUGAUAGUGAAUAGUGAUUGUUUGUGGCUGGUAGUCUAGUACUCCCUUCGACUUAAAUUAAGUGAGUUAAUUGUUCAUUUCACACGUAUUAAAAAAAUGUAUAAGUGAAUGAGAAAGAAAAAUGAUUUUAAGUGUUUUUGUGUAUUGGUGUAUUCACCACUAUCAUAAAUGCAAAGUGAAAUAUGUCCCCGUGAGUUUAACUCAAUUGGUAUGGACAAUGCAUAAUAUAUGCAAGGUCCGGGGUUCAAACCCCGGCCACCACAAAAAAAAAUGCAAAGUGAAAUAUAUUAAAUUGAGAGUGGUGAAAGUAAUAUUAAUUAGAGCUAUAAUUGGAAAAAAGUAAUUUAUAUUGAUUGAAAAGUCAAAUGUAUCACCUUUUUUACGACAAUUUUUUUUUUUUACAAAAGGCUCACUUAUUAUGGAAUGGAGUCAAAAAAAAACAUUUUUCACAAAAUAAUAAAUGGUUUGAAAUUUGAAUUAUGUUGGAAAGUUCUUUGGGUACACCUUGUAGAGUUAAAGAUUUUGAUACUUUUCUAUUUAUAUUUCUAAAAGUACAAUAAUGAAGCAAACAAAGACAAUAGAAAACACAGAGGAACUUAAUUCUACUUUGUAUUUGUUUGAAAUGGACAAGACAAUUUUAGUAUAGUUUGUUUGAUAUUAAAAUUGUUUUACGGACUAGACAAACUAAGGGAUAAAAGAUAUGCUAAAAACUGAAAUUUUCGUCUCUCUAAAUCUUAUCACAACUUUUUGUCACAAGAACAAAUUGUCCAACAUAUCAAAAUAGUCUUUUGUCCAGCAUACAACAUAAAAGAUAAAAAAUUGUUCAUUACUAUAAAAGUUUGUCUUGUGCUGUUAUGUCUUGUAUUAUUUUGUCUAAUACUUAACUUUUAGCAUAUCAAAUACACUUCUUGUGUUAUUACAUUUUCUCGGAUUACUUUUUUUUUUCCUGAACACAAAAGGGUUUGAAAAAAAGGGUUUGGUAGUAAAUACCCGCGUAAUCGAUGUUGGCUAAAGCAUCAUAUCGAGCAUUCCUCGUAAUCGAUGUUGGCUAAAAUAUCAACACACCUAUUCACCUCAUAAGAGUGACCUAUUCGCCUCAUCCUUGAAACUGCACCUCGACCUCCAUGAUCUAAACAAUAGACCAUUUUCUAAAACGACUUAUAAAAAAAUAUGGAGAUCCAUUGAAUUUUGAAAAUAAGUGGAUGGAUUGGAUCUAUAUCCAUAUUUUUAAAAGGAUGGAUUGAAUCUAAUCCAUUAACAUAUUUUUUUUAUGUUAUGGAUGGAUUGGAUGAUAUUAAUUUGGUGGAUCAAAUUGCCACCGGUAAGAUACACUGGUAAAGUCAAACUAAAAAGACUUUUAGAAAAAUUAUGUAACUGUAAAAAAAAAAAGGAAUGUUAUUGAAUUACUUCACAUUGUUAUGUUGACUGAUUUAAUUACUCUAUCAUUUUGAAUGUCUAUCUGUUAAGGUUUUGAUUUUUCUUUCUGGGAUUUUGUCAAUUUGUUGGUGAUUUGGAUUGUUUUAUGGAUUUAUAUGUUUUAGUUAGUGAAGAUUUUUUGGUCUGUCUUUUACAGUUGAAUCUUUGUUUGCUUCAAACUAGUGUAUGGAUUUUUUUUAGUUAAUUUUUUUAAAUUACUAAUUAGGGAGAACAGAUUUUGGAUGUUUUAUUUUGCGUGCCUUUUAACUUUUUUAUGUUCAGUAGUUAAUUACCUAGUUUUAUAUGUAUAUAGAUGGAAGACAAUGAUAUUACAAGGGGAAGUGGAAGAGGUGUUGGUAUAGGCAUCAACAAAGUUAGGGGAAGAGGGGGAGGUAAACAUAAAACUACUUUGUCACAUUCUACAAUUCAUGCUCCACUUCUCAAAUACCUACAAAUAUCCAAUCUCCCCACUCUACUCCAAGUCCACAUCUUUCUAAUACACAUAGCCUGCCACAUUUACCAUCUGAUGUUAUAUCUGGUGGUGAUUAACAUGCAUCAUCAUCAUGUGAUGAUUCGUAUCCGAUAGCUGGGAGUACAGAUCCUACUGAUAGGCGUAUAUGGAUCCGUCUGGGACCACAGUUAACGUAAGAUUUUCCGUUUAAUUUUGUUUUUAUAGGUUUGAGCCUGUUGUUCAGCCCCCACGUGACAGUACAAAGAUUAUGAAACUUUUGUUUCAAGGGACUUGGCGAACUUAUCGAGAGAUAAAGAAAUAUGACAAGGAUCUUGUGGACUUAUGGUAUAACGAGUUUCAGGGACUGUCCUUCUCUUCGUCCAACUUAUGUUUAACCUCCUCGAUGUUUGAUUUGUCGCUAAGUGCAUUUUUUAUUUGGAAUUGUUGGUUGAAGUUAUCUCUAGUCCAUUUUUUAUUUGGAAUUGCUGGUAUAUAUUCUAUUCCACCACACUGCCUACCAUCAAUUUUGGAGGGUAUGGAAUGGAAUCUGUUACUAGUCUCUUAUCAAAUUUAUAAAAUGAAAAAUUAGACCAAUUAACAUAUAUACAGCCCUAAGGUGAUGUUGUUUUCUGAUUGGCACUAACUAUAGCUUCUCCAGUGGAGCACCACCCUUUUCUUAUUCUCUUUUUACAUGAAAUCAAGGAAAUUAUAAGCACUUAACUACCAUCCUUAAUAAGUGUGAAAAAAAGUACUUCUGCUUAUACUUGAGUAUGAAGUGAGUACAUGAUUCCCUUAUUAUAGAAUCCUAAUGCAUCAAUUCUGUGACAAACUCCGAAUAGAAUCGUAACUACUAACUUCUUCAGUCAAACUUCAAUUAAACUUUGAAAUAGUAGCCAUAUCUUAUUGAAUCCUGUUGUGUUUGAAGGUUCACAGAGAUCUAGUCGUAAUUUAUGAUUUUUUCAUUACUUUUUUUUUUUUUACUUUUUAUACUAGUCCUCAAUUGGAAAAACUUUAAAAUUAGUAUUUAUAAUUGUCCUCAUCUGUAAUGAUGCAUGUUGCUACACUAUAACUCUGUCAUCAUAUGCUAUAAUUGUUUUUGGUUAUCUAAUCAUGUAUAUUGUUGUAUGUUACAUGCUUUUGUGCCAUAGUUUUUAAUGUUAUGCAUGCUUAUUAUUGUUCAUCAGGUUCUGACAUGUGAACAUGAUAAUCUUAUGUUUUUUCACUUCGAAAGAAGUCAUGAUAACUUAGUUAUUAAUUAAAAACUAGUUUUAAUUUGUUUAAGUUGUUAUUGGUUGGUUUAUAUAUGAAUUUAACUGUAGUAAUUAAUUUAAUUUCAUAUUUUUGUGACUAGUAUAAGAAGUUUUUUAAUCUUCUUAUAUGCAGUUUAAGUUGUUAUUGGUUGAACUCAAAGAGCGGUUGAAGACUAAUGAGGAAUUGAUUCGUGCAUCACAGGAGGAGUUACGUUUAAUCUUCUUGUGAACGCAGCCAAAAAGUUUUCCAUCAAAUAUUAAUGUAUUUUAUAUUGUGAUUAUUCAUCACCUUGUUUUAUAUUCCACUGUUUUGAGAAAUAAAAAAUCCUAUUUGCGACGGAAAGUCUAAGAGUAACAAAAGAUUGGUCUUAGCGUGUAGCGUCGGCCACUAUAGCGUCGCUACACAAAUUCCCAGAUAUUUAGCGACGGGAUUCUUCUCUCAGUAAUUUGCAACGGCUUUUUCCCUCAGUAAUUUGUGACGGAUAGUUUUAACGUCGGUAUUUUGUGACGGAAAACUGGGUUACAUAUAUCCAGAAUGUGGGAGGUUUAGGGACAGAUUUUUGGCGUUUGCGACCGAAUGUGAGCGGCCGUAAGGAGUGACGGACUUGAUAUUCCGUCGGUCAAAUUUCCGAUUCCCAUUAUUACUACGGAUUUUUGCAGCGUCGCAAAAUCCGUCAGAAAGUCAUUUGCUACGGAAUUUUGACUACUAUGCGACGGAAAACGACCGUCGCUAAGUCUGGGUUUCUUUGUAGUGGAACCCAAAAAUUAGUCGGACCAUGCCAAUACCAUGGAAUCAAAAAUGGGAAAGACUUGCGAAGAAAAUAAAGUAGGUGUUGGGUGAGGAGAUUUUUUGAAAGGGAGGAAGUAAAGAAAAAAAUAUAAAUGGUUAUUGAUGAAAAGUAAAUAGAAACCCUAACGGUCACUCAAAGACUUUCUAAAAAAAUAAAUAGAAAUCCUUCACUAAAAAAAAUAGGAAAUACUUCUGAAAAAAAUAAAGUAGGUGUCGGGUGAGGAGAUUUUUGAAAGGGAGAGGAGGUAAAGAAAAAAUAUAAAUGAAGAUUGAUGAAAAAUAAAUAGAAUCCCUAACGGUCACUCAAAGACUUCCUAACAAAAUAAAUAGAAACCCUAAGGAUACGCGUUUGUUAACUUUAAACUAUCUUGUUGCUAACCCACCAAAAACUAAGUAUAAAAAUAACAAAGGGUGAAUAUGAUAAGAUUAGAAAUAGGUUUAAGUUAUCAUUUCCUAUUGAUGCUCCAAACGGAGGAUUGAAACAGGAUAGAAUUGUUUUAUCAUAUUCUGUUUUCUUAUCAUGUGCACGAAACAGGCUCUAACGGUCACUGAAAAAUAGGAAAUACUUCUGAACAAAAUAAAGUAGGUGUUAUCGGGUGUGAGAGAUUUUUGAAAGGGAGGAGGUAAAGAAAAAAUAUAAAUGAAGAUUUAUGAAAAAUAAAUAGAAACCCUAACGAUCACUUGAAGACUUCCUAACAAAAUAAAUAGAAACCCAUGGUCACUGAAAAAUAGGAAAUACUUCUGAACAAAAUAAAUGAAGGUAAAAAAAAAUGAUAAACAACAUCUUUUCAUGGUAGACUAGUACUUGAUGAUCACUUGAAACUAACAAUCGAGAACAUUCACAAAAAUAUAAACCCAAGAGUCCACUUUGUCCUUGCAAGUUGCAACUAAUAGAGUGGCCUUAUCAGAUAUCAAUGUAACGUUCGACCAAAAUGAGAAGAAAAAAAAAACAAGAAUGGGAUUGAAAUUUCGAACAAUUUUCAAGUACUAAUCUCUUGUCUCGUGAGACACCUGUUGAAGUUGUCCACAAUUUUCAGUUACUCUUAAUUUGAAAUGCUAAUCAUAGAAUGUCAUAUUACCAAAUUUUCUAUCUCUGUGAGAUCCCUAACUGCUACAAUUUCAUGCAUAUUUGCCACGUGAGGUUCCAACUCUGAAGUUCAUCUGUUAUAAGAACGGUAAACAUAAACAAAAAAUCAUGAGAAAUUUAACAAUCAUAAAACUCAAUCCAGUAAAAAAGGCCAAAACAUAACCAUUAGCAUAUAUACCCUUAGAGUGUGUUUGGAUGGGGAAAUGUUUUGAGUGAAUGUAAUGUUUUGAGGGAAUUCAACUACUUUAAAGUAGUUGAAUUCCCUCAAAACAUUACAUUCACUCAAAACAUUUCCCCAUCCAAACACACUCUUAGGACACAUGUUAGCACGACUCUUAUGUUUUAUUAGUUUCUUUAGUUGAUAUAGUUUGAACCUUACUAUCAAAUAAAUUAGUGGUUGAGAUUUGAUGUAAAUUUCUUGACUUACAGUCUAUGUCAAUGGUAGUUUUUCAAACACCAUAUCAAAUUGGUUAAUUCACGAAACCUUUUUAAAACAUGAAUCAAUUGUACUGACAGAGUCACAUGUGUUGGUGUCUGACAUCGACAUGCAAAGUUUUAAAUACGGCUUCGUUACCGCAAACAUGGUGCCGUCACCAACAAAAUACCAACACAUUGUGACUACUACAAUAGAUUCAUGUUCUAUAAAAGUUUUGUGUAUGAACGUGACAGUGUCAUAUUUAGUGUUUGUUUGUGCUUGUAUUGGUGCUUCCUAGUUUUUCAAACACCAUAUCAAAUUGGUUAAUUCACUCUAUCUUUUUUUGAAAACAAAAUCAAAAUAAACUCAAAACUGCAUCAUCAUCAUCAUCACAAUCCCUAAUUUAUGCGUCUAAAUCUAAAAUCGAUAUUAAUGUAACAAACUAUGAAAUUACAUCAAAAUCAUCUAUAGAAGCAACGGAAGAAAUAGAUGAUCAGGAAAAUGAGAGAUGCCUAAGACAUUUAAGAGAGACGGGAAGGAAACUGAGAGACAAAUGAGAGAAAUGAUACAACCGUUCAAAAGAGAGGUAAAAGUAACCAACUCCUCAUAUUUUUUAAGAAUUUGAAAAUCAUUUUUUUUGCGGUGGUUGGGAUUUUAACUCGAACCAUGCAUAUAUUAUGCAUUGUCCCUACCAAUUGAGCUCACAAGAACUUGAAAAUCAUUUUGAACAUAAGUGAGAGAAUAUCAUUAAUUUAUGAUGUAUAUAAUUUUUCAACCAUAUAAAUGAAAAACUAUUAUGAUAUGUAUAGUUUUUCAACUUGAAUGAUUUUUAACCAUAGUUUUUCUUAAAAACCUAAUAAAAAAUCUCUAGAUUGUUUAUAUCAAAAUCACUUUUAUUCUAAUCAAUAACAAACGGAUCCUUAUUCUCUCCACCUCUCGUCUUUUAUUUUUCUUUCUAAAACAAAUGUGUCUUUGUGGUAUGUUUGCACUUAAAUUACAAUAUUACUUAUCAUCAUGUUUGUCUUAUAUGUUGUAUCACCAAUCUUGUUUCUUCUCUUUAUGAUUGUAUGCUUUUAUAUAUAAGAAAUUAUUACCUAGUCAUAUUUGCAAAUAAAUAUUUAUAAGAGAAAAUGAUUAAAUAAUGCUAAAUAUGAUACCCCCAAACUCCAUUUUGAAAUACGAAUUAAAAUGCAAUAGUUUAGAGUAUAAAUACAUAUCAGAAUUUAGAGUGAAUAAGGAUUAACUAUUUUAAGAGUGAAUCAAAACUAGGAGUGUUAAAAAUCUUAUCUUAUUGUACUUAAUAUUCACUUUUUUAUUCGAUACAAUUUAUAUGAACUUGAUCACUUUAUACGAAACACAUUUCUAAAGUGUAGUGUUCACGAUAAUUUCAUUCAAUAAAAAUCAAAUUUUAAAAAGAUUUUCAUAGCACUCAUUAAUAAAAAUUAUUCAAACAUCGAUCCUUAGUAAUUCAUUUUCUUUAAUUAUAUUCAAAUAAAAAUAAAACAUUUAAUCUACAAUUUUAGUUUGUAAGUACCGUAAAGUAAAAGAGAUGUAUUUUAUAAUACCUCUUAUAUAGGGAUGUAAAUGGAUAUCCAUGGAUGCGGAUAGUGUGAUAUCCGUGUCCGUUCCGUUAAAUAAAUAUGAAAUCCGUACUCUAUCCAUAUCCGCGCGGAUAUCCAUUUAGCGAGUAAUCCGCCGAUUUUGAGGUAUCCGCGGGUUUAUACAGAUAUCCAUGGAUAACAUUUAUAAAAAUAAAAUAAAAAAUUUGUUUACCUUUUAUUAGCUAAAAUUUAGAAACAAAGGUUCUUCACAUGCAUUUUCUUUUCUUUUUAGCAAAACAUAAUAUUCAUACAUUACAAUAACAACAAAGAUCAUUGACUCAACAAAAACAUAAAUAAAGUCUCUUCAAUUUAAUAAAAAUAAAGUUAUUUGAUUUAACAAAAACAUAAGUAAAGCUCAUCAUAUUCAACAAAAACAAAGCUUCAACAACCACUUUCACUUCCUUUUAAAGGAGCGUAAUAACUGAUAACACUCACAAUACCUAAGGUGUUUUCUUAGGAAGUUGAAUGAUAUUGAGGUUAUUUAUAUAAUUUACUCGGUUUAAUAGCGGGUAUGGAUAUCCACGGGUGUGGAUACCAUUAAAUCUGCAUCUGUAUCCAUUAAUUAACGGUUGGUUAAAAAAACCGUUUAUUUUAUCCAUUAAUUAGUGGAUUUUUUGCCAUCCCUACUCAUAUAUGAGAACAACUAUCAUCAUCAUCAUCAAUGUCAACAACAAGUCUCCAUUUGCCAGCAUUCGAACCUGUGACAUGCAGGUAAUGUUUUCACACAAUUACCAUACAGACCAGGCGAUGCCAGCAGUUGACUCUGUAUACUUUACUUCUAAAUUGUGUAAAAAAGCCUAGACCAAAGAACAGUUAACCAAUUAGAACGUUGUAUUGAUAUUCACCAGAAUUAUUAUUAUCUUAUUACAUUUCAGCUAAAGUUUAUUUCAUAAAAAAAACAAGCAUAAAAAGUUAAUUAGUUCAUAAAAUAGUAGAUUCAACUUUAGUUGAUGAUUUGUAAAUUGUUAUAAAAGAAAACUAAUAAAAAGAGAGUGUGACAUAAGAAUGUUUAAGCUACUAUAAGCAACCACGUGCUCUCUCUUUGGAUUGAGCUUAUGAAAAAAAAAGCUUGUACAAAUAAAUAAGUUUUUAUAUUAAUUUAUAAGUUCUCACUAACUAAGCUUAUGCACUUUAAAACAUUUACAAAAAGACGGACCAAAUGCUUUCAAGUGAUGGUUAUUAUGGUGAACAUAAAAGAUCGGACCAUCAUGGUGAUUCGGUGAAGUUAAACCAAUACAAUAAUCAAGAUUUAAUAUGUUUCUUGUCAAUGUACUUGAUUAAUAGGACACUCAUAUAAAUCAGUGAUUAUUUUUAACUUCACAAUUAUGGUCAAAUCUUUUAAGUUCACCAUGUUAACCUUCAACAUGCUUUCAUUAUCUAUGGUCAAAUCUUUUAAGUUCACCAUGUUAACCUUCAACAUGCUUUCAUUAUCAACCCUAAAAGAUGCAAUUCAAAUCGAAAAUUGAAGUCCACAGUUCUCUUUGUCCUUGCAACUACUAGUAACCUUAUCAAUGUCUAUCAAAGUUGUCCACAGUAGAAGUUGUUUAUUUGUGAGAACUGCUAUAGAAAUACAAGAACCUUGUUUCUAGAUGCUGAUCACUUUAUGGUACCAACAAUUCAUGCAUUUCUUCAAUUAUUGCAAAAAAAUCUCAAUACUAAGAUAAAUGGAAUUGCAGAAAUAAGUUGAGACCUAAUGCUUCUAAUCCUGUGUAUGAAAAAUGAAAAUGAUGUGCAGAAUAAGAUAAAAUAAAGACAUGUUUGGUUUCAUAAAACAUUUACUCAAACCAAAUGUUGCCAUAAUAAUGGCAUGGACAAGUGGAGAAGACUGAUAAAAUAAAUGAAACACUAAAUCAAUUGAUGAGGGAAGUAGUUAAAGCACUUUGAAACAGUUCUCCACAGUAACAGAAAUCAACAAGGGCAUUGAAUCAUCAAGAAGCAUACAAAAUCCAAAUUUUGAAGCCUAUGAAAUUUCUAUAGAUGUUCCCAAUGCUCUCUGUUACAAGUUAUGAAAUGCAUCUUUGGGAUGAAUAUUUUCAAUAUCUUAAUCUGCAUCCAUUUCUUCAAGAGCUAAUUUAGCUGCUGUCUUGGCUUCUUCUAGAAGCUCCUCUGGAACCUGCAUAAGAUCAAUUUUGUAGCAAGAUUAACAAGCAGCAAAAACAACAAUUCUAUGCAAACACUUGAAUGCAUUUUUCCUUACAAAAUCAAGUUUUUUGGAAGUGAUGACUGAAAGCAAUACUUAUAUAAAUUUUUUCCUUGCAAAAGAUUUCAGAAGUUUAUUAAGAAUGUGUUUUUACAGUCGACUAAGCCUGUUAUGUUCUAUGAGAGGCAUCAAAACCUUCAUAACAAACAAAAGGUAUAUAAACAUACUAUAUUCAGAGAGUCGUAUACUAGAUAAGAUUAUAGCAAUGAAGUAGUGAUGGUCUAGAAGCAUUCCGUAUAAAAAUUUCAUAAAAGUCUCUUGAGGUUGAAAUGCACUAUGUCAAAGGAUUCACACACUCAUACACACUUGUUUAUCAGUAGUGUUGUCAAUCGCAAAUCUUAUCAGUAGUGUUGUCAAUCGAAAAUCUUAUCAGUAGUAUUGUCAAUCACAAAUCUCAUAAAAUAGCAAUUUGUUCAGGGUUUGUUCAAUUACUCCUACUUUCAAAUGCUAUUCAUUUUUUCAAUACGAUACCAGGGACAGGGAUUGCGGUAAUAACCAGAAACAUAAUAUGAAUGGACAGAAUAAGAGUCACUUUUUGAUAAUUUCAGAAUGACUGGAACGAAUACAAAUCAAACAGAUGAAACAAAUGUGGAUGCUAUGCUAUGUAAAUUCCAUAUAUAAGUAAUUGAAAGAAAAAUAUGUCAUUGCAUAAAAGUAACUCAGAGUACACCCUGCCUUACCUUUUCAUGUUGACGGUUUGAUUCAUCGCACACCCAGCUCAUUUCGAGUUCGAAAUCUUUAUCCUUUGCCUCGUCGUGAACUCCAUAUAUACUGCAUUUGCACAGAUAGUUGUAAAAAGUGUAGUAAGUUUCACAUUAAGAAUAUAACAAGUAACAACAAACACUAGCAAUAAUCAUGCUACUUACAUCUUAGCUACUUCAAUAACUCCUUGUCGGCAGGUCAUAUCUGCAAGCUUCAACUUUUCAAUCUCCCUGCCAAGACAUUCACAAGAUAACAUUGUAAAACAAAAUUCUGAUAUGGAAGCUGAUAAAGUGCAGUGUUGAGACAGAAAUCACCACAGAAGAAUUAUAUUUAAUUAACAGAAAAGGAAUUGUACACCAUCCACAGAACAAAAAUAUAAUAACUGUAUUCGAGCUACUGUUGCUGAGAGAUGCAUGCAAUGUGACAUUUCAUACAACAAUUGAACUUUUUCUUACCAGGUAGGAUCAACUAAAUGCACCAUUUACCAAACGACACCAUAGUUCCUUGUCAUGGUUUAUGUCCAAAUAUAGUCCAAUCAACUCUUCCUACUUAUUAAACUACCCUCCCUCUGUUCAACCCUUAUUACCAGUAUUUCUUAUAUUCAUCAAUAUAUAAAAAAUCGAUUUUAUACCAUACGACUGCACAAAGAAAUGAUGGUGCUGAUUUAAACAAAAAGAAAUUCUUCAAAGUUGUGCACAUACUUAAACCAAAAUAUUGUGUUUUAAGCUUGUACCCUCCCUAAAACACAAUGGCAGCAGCCUCAUACAAGACAAAACUUGCACUUCAAAAGAAGAGCCUCUAAGGUUUCAAAGCGCACAAGUAGGUCGAGGCAGUAGAAGAAAACAUGCACUGUACCAGAGAAGGGACGAGGAACACAUUAUCAACCAUUCUAGUAAGUAUCUUACAUAUAAAGUGUGCAUAGACAUAGUAACACUCAAAGUAGUCUCUGUUAACCUUUAAAGUAACCUAUAAGCUACACAAUAUUUUGCCUUAAGCUGCUGAUUCUCAAAUUUAUAAACAGAGAUACCCAUGUAACCGAAACUCAAAGUAGUUAUUUGAUAGCAUGGAACAUUUUUUUUUAUAGAAAAUGAAUAUUAUUUACAAAAGGCAAAGGAUAAAGUACAGCGAUGAGAAUAUAUUGUCCCUAACAUAGACAGUAAUUAAAAGGAAACCACAAUUAUUGUUCAUUUUAGAAUUGAAUUGCAUAACUGUUAUUAUAUAUCCACUUACGUUUUCGCAGCCUGUCUGCCCUUCCCGAUUGCAGCACCAAAAUACCUCUGAAACAAAUGGCAAUACAGAUAAAUCAGUACAAAAAAAUUCACAUGGAGCUUAAAAAAAUCACUGUAGCUCAGGACACAAUUAAAAGUCUAUAGAUUGCUAUGAAAUAAUGUAAACUCACAUAAGAGACACCAGAAGGUUCGACCAUGUACAACUGUGGUCCAUCUCUGUCAUAACCACCUAGUAUGACACCACAUCCAAAAGGUCUGCAGCACCAUUAUAAAUUGAUUAUUAAUGUGAAGUAUCCGACACGUGUUAGGAUAAAACACUUAUUACAUACAAAUACAACAACUGUACCUGAGCCACCAGUAUAAUGUGCAGAGGUGCACGUAACUAGCCACACGGUCAGCAAGUUCCUUGACAGGAAUUGGAUCACCGUACACGCUGAAAAGAAAAAUAACCAGAAUAAACAUUCUUCUUCUCAAAACAAUUACGAGAACCUCAGAAUAAUGAGAUCAUUAUAUAUAAACAGUGUCAAAACAAUAAUAACUGCAAAAACUAUUUAAAUCAUGAACUUCAGAAUUACUGUUUUCUAUUGCUUUGGCCAUCAAUCAUCGAGCAGUGUUUUACGACUAACAAAAAAAUUUAGCAUGAUCAUUAAAUAAUACACCUAUUUCAAGUAUCAAGAAACCUUCACCUCUAUUUCAAGUUAUCAAAUUUUUAUCACCUCUAACACGUCAUCUUAGUUUGGACAAAUAACAUUUGGUAAAUUUUUAUCACAUAUUAGUCAUGUCAAGCCUUUAGCAGCGAAUAGCAAUCGUGUUUGGCAAUAAUAAGUAAUAAAAAAGGGACACUGUGAUAAUCUUUACACAGUUAAAAGGGGCUUAUACUAACCUAAAAUAAUUUGACAUGUUUUUUAUUUCGUAUUUUUUAAAUAAGGUUGUUCAAGGGUGGUCAGAAGGCUGAAUCAAUACACAGGGUUUCAGGUCUAAUUUCCUAGCUACUACCGUUUUUUUCUUUGAGGAAUACAUAGCUAAAUGAUGGGAAAUAUACUGAUAAUAAGGUUGAAUUCAUAAUCAAAACAGGGUUAAGUUAUUUUCCACUGUAUGGUUUCUAUUAGUCCAUCUAACCUUUAUAGCAGCCUCCAAUUCAAUCACAAAGAUGGUGUAUUUAAUCAGUAAAUAUGAUAAAAUGAUGUACAUGUUUAGGUCAAAUAAAGGAGGAUCUGCAGAAGUAAUAGUUAUAAGCAAAUGGAGCAAACCUGUCGUAGUUAGUUGCUUCAGACUUAGCCCUAGCAACAAUUUGCCUUCCAUCUGCAGCUAGUCCCGCUACAGCCUAAAUUGGAAAAAGAUUCGUAUAUAUAUUAGAAUAAGUUAAUGUAUGGUAACAACUAGAAUGUCACACGUCGUCAAAUAAAAAUAACUAGAAAGUGACAUUGUAAUCUAAAAAAAAAAAAUCUACUUAUUAGAAAAGUAUCAACAAUGGAGUGUUUAAACUACAUUACAUUAGCUGCUUAGUGCAUGCCCCAGGUGCACACAAGAACUUAACUACAUUAUAUUAUAUUGGUCAUAGAACCGUAAUUAUUUCAGUGACAUUUCUGAUAUUGACUUUGAAUCAAUAGAAUAAAGAGCACAGCUGUGAAUUGUUGUUUAAAAUUUGGUCAUUCUGUAUAAUAUGUAGGUAUCAUGCAAUAGAACUAAGAUUCCCUAUUCUAAUCACAUAGAACUACUAAGGUCUAAAACAAAUAAACGCUAGCAAUUAAUAACAAAUGCAAGUCAAUUAUGUCUCCUUCUGAUCAAGACGAAAAUAACAACAAAUAGCAAAAACAGUAACAAGACGUGUGAGCAAAAUGUAAAUAAGAAAAUACCAUUCCAGAGUGGCGAUGAACCGCGUGAAUUCUUCUAUUGGAACCCGAAAGCAUCAUUUUCGAAGGGAUAAGCUUCUCAACACCCUAAAAUCAACCAAAUUAGCACAAAAAAUAACAAAAAGUUCAAAAACUAAAAAUGAAACCCCAAAUUAUCAGAAUAACAAUCUAGAUUAACUUACCAACACAAUUCCAUCCUUGCAUCUGAUUCCAAUAACAGUCCUGCAACAAAGUUUCAAAUCUAAGAUCGCUAGCUCAAAACAAAACCAAACAAAAACCUAGAAUAAAAACUACAUUUCAUCAGAACCCUAGUCUCAAAUUCUUAAAAUAACUAAAACCCAUGAUUAAUAUUAAAAAAAAUUCAAAAAGCUGAAUUAAAAAUCGAAGAUCUCUAGCUCAAAAUAAAACAAAAAACCUAAAAUUAAAAACUACAUUUCAUCAAAACCCUUGUGCCAAAUCUUAAAUGAACUAAAACACAUAAUUAGUAUCUAACAAAAAUUGAAGUUCACUACCUCAAACCUAAAAUAAAAUAAAAAACUGCAUUCCUUCAAAACCCUAAAUUCCAAAUCUUAAAAGAACUAAAACCCAUAAUUAACAUUACAAAAAUCAAAUAAUCACUAGCUCAAAACAAAACAAACAAAAAACCUACAAAAACUCAAAUUCAUUGAAAUCCUUCAUUCCAAUUCUUAAAACAACUAAAACCCACGAUUAAUAACUAUACCAAUCGACAAAAUAUGAACUCAAAAUCGAAGAACUCAAUAAAAACCUAAAAAUAAAAAUUCAAUUGCUUCAAAACCCAUAAUUCCAAAUCCAAAAACAACCAAAACCCAUUAUUAAUAUCACAAAAAAUCGACAAAAGAUGAAUGAAAAACCAAAACUUGAUGAGAAAAGUUGUAUAUAUAAACCCUACCCACUAUUGUCGACAGCUUUGGCAGCAUAUUCGAUCUGGAAAACGCGACCAUCGGGAGAGAAGGUAGUGACGGAUAGAUCGUAGCCUGUUCCAAUGCUACUCAUGAUUGCUGAAUUUGAUUUCUUCGAUUUCGAUUGAUUUUGAGUUUUUUUUGGUUUCGUGAGUGAAGAAGUUGUGAGAAGAAGAAAAAGAAAAAGGAAAUAUAAAGUGAAUUUGCUUGUUCAAGAGUUUAAGAUGCAAGUUGGGUCGGACCGGGUUUGGUACAAAUGUUAUCCGACCCAGUUGAGUUAAAGGCGUGAUUUGGGUCGGACCGCGUUUAAUCAAACUCGAUUCAAUCAAAUUUAAUUGGUUUGGAUGGGAUAAAUUAGUCGCAUUUUUUAAAAGCAUGUAUUUAAAACUAAAAAAACUUAAAAAUUAAUCUAGUAUGAACAUCAAAUUUAAACGACCCAGCAUGUAUUUGACAUAUCUUUUAUGUCAAAUUUAAAUUACACCGAACCCAAUGAUGAACGAGUUGGUUUGGGUUGGAUUAACAAAUCGUCAUGAAAAAAUCACAAUAAGAAUAUGUAAUAUAUAAUAAUUCAAUUAUAUUCUAUUUUUCAAAAAUUUAUUGUGCUUACUUGUAUAUAGAAAUAGAUAUCAAUUUUAGUAUAUACUUAUAACCGAAUAAAAUUCGUAUAACCGAAUAAAAUCGGAUAUCUAUUUCUAUAUCCGACCAGGUUUGUAAUUGUUCAGAAGAAUUUGAUUUGAAUCGUUGGUUGAAACAAUUCUCGAAUAGAUUUUAGUUGUUGUCUAACCAAACUCCGGAUUACCUCUUUCUUAAACAUCGGAUGGUUAACACCAAAGAUAUAAACUUAUUUAAUAAUGUUCAUAUUGCAAUGGUAUUGUUCCAAUUUUAACGUGAUUUAGCUUUCUUUAAAAAAAAUCGUUCUUGCUUACAAUGUUUACAAAAACGGUUUUAUGAUUGCAAUUUGCAAACGUAAAGACCAUGUCCUCAAACCAAAACAUAAUUUGGCAGCACAUUUUCUUCAUGUAAAAAUGCACAAUGAAUAAUUUAAACUUUAAAAAAAAAUUAAUGGAAAGCAAUAGAAUAUUUGAAAAUCUCAUUAGACUAAUAAUGCUCUUAACAAAGCCAAAAUUUAGGCUUAAACAUAAACCUUGGUAACAAAUUAUUCCGUUCAAUACGAUUAAUAAUUUUGGUUUUCUCAAUAUUUACAACAAACAAAUGAGCUAAGGAAAAAGUAUCACUUUAUUUUCACCGUAGAAAACAAAUAUUUUUAGUUAAAAGUGAAUCAACAAUUUCAUUGGGAGGACUAGCCCCUUCUACAUCCAAGCACCAUUGAUAACUACUCAACUCAAUUAUAGUAAUAUACGAUAAACUUCCAUAUGAUGAAUAGGGUAAAUGGUUACACCAUGAAAAACAUUACAACAGUCAAAAACGAAAUGAUAAGUGGCGGCGCAAAUCAGAUGUGAUUCUCAGUAACCAACAAUGUAUCAAAUCAAAUAACUUCGCUUAUCGUGGAGGUGGAGGAGGUGGUGGUGGCAGGUUCGCUUUUGCAAAUCCCACCCAUGUAACAAUGCCAACAGCAAGGAUUACCCAUCCAAGUAUGUCAUACUUCAUAUCACUGUUUUUCUUUUUCUUUUGAGUCUGAAAAUAAUGAAAUAAAUUAGGUGUAAAUUAAAAACACAACUUAAAUAUGAAGAACUGAGUUUAUAUCUCCAUAUUAACAUCUACCCUACAACUUGAUUUUUGUAUAUCUGUAUUUAUCAAAAAGAAGUAACAGACCAAGAUCCAACAAGAAACCAGACAGACGCAUUGAUCUGAAGAACUAAGAAAACUUAAGAUUAGUUCUUCGUUUUAUUUUAUCUAUGGAAAAAAUGCAUUUAUUACGCCCACCAAUCUAAAACACAAAGACACUAGUUCGGGAAUGAAGAUCUAAAACACACAGAUAAACUAAUUAUGGAAUCAAGAUCUAUCAAUGUUGGUAGAACUAGAUCGUACAAACUCAUCUCAUAAAAUGUGUCCAAAAUAACAAAGUCACCUAAUUUCUCCAUCUUGACAACAUUAAGUCAAAAAAAAAACAUAAAUUUUGAAUGAGGAAAACAAUGAAUUCCAGUCAACUAACUGUUCUAUUUCAUUGCAAGAACAGUACUUAAAUGUGUAUGCAAUCAGAGGUCUUAGCACACAUAAAGAGAACAUUUGAACUUCUGUUACUAAGUCUCGGUGAAAAACAAUUCAUCAAUAACAAAAACAUGGAUUAGGUGACAUUGGUUUUAUGUGACAUUGUUCCUAUCUCUCUCUUAAUCGAUCACUCUCUUUCAUCUAAAUCAUUUAUUUUAAUCAUUCAUCCAUCAUUCUCUUUCAUCUAAAAUACACUAAUGUCACUAAUGUCAUCAAAAACUAUGUCACCCAAGUGAAACCCCAAAAACAUAUACAAUGAGGGGGUGAAAGAAAUCGAGAAAUUUGUGCACUUGCAUUGAAUUUACUGCAAAAAAACCAAUAGAAAACGAUAGCAAAGUAAAGACAAACAACUGAAGCUUAAAUGUCUUAUUAGUUAUUACCUUUGUACCAGCAGAAGAAGAUGGACCAGCUGCCUCUACUGCUUGCUGACCUAAUCCAUGCUUAUGUAUUUCUACAUGUAGCUCAGGAGCCUAAAAAAAGGUAUAAAGGAAAUGAUUCAGUAACUAGUUUAAGAAUAAGUUAGUGAUAUUGUUAAUGAAAAAGCAAGAUUUAUAGUAGAACUAAAGGAUGCAUGAGUAUGGAGUGAAGUACCCUCCCAAAAGACCAAACUACAAAAACCAAAACACAAACAGAGAAAGGAACAGUUCAGCCUAAAAGAAAGACGGCAACUCCUAAAAGUAGUCGACAAAUACAAAAGGGAACAAGAGAGACGAUCAACAAAGUAGAGUAAGGGAACGAAAUAACAAGGGUUCAGUUUCUGAACAGGAAGGCAGAUCAAAAGGUGCAAAUCUGAUGCAUUCCCUCCACUUAAAAGAAACAAGGUUUUCAAGGUUGGGCCUCUUUAACAGGAAGACCGAUUUAAUCUUAAUUGCUUGCUGAUUCUUCUUCAGCAUAGCAAGGAAAAAAACAAAGACAUAAAAACGGGGGUUUUUCAUCCGACAUGGGUAGGGUAGGAACUAGGAAGCAAAACCCUGUUGCACAAAACUGUGCAAAUUGGAGAAAAAAUGUGGUUCUGGGCUUCUGGCAGAACAAUUUCCAUUUACAAUGAAACAUGACAACGCAAUUACAUCUACAUGGCAGUCACUUGUCACACAAGUCAGUGUCUUACUUUCAUACAUAUCUGCAGAUAUCAUAACUACUUUGCAAACCACAGCACAACAGGGUGACAUAUCCAGCUUUGUAAAGCAUGGAACUGAAAAGACUAGGCACACUAACAUUUUGAAAAUUCAAAGCCCAAUCUAAUCGAACAUGUACCUCAUUAAAAAGGAAACACCAGUCAUUCCUCUUCUAUGACCAUAGAUUUAUAAUAGUAAAAAAUUUGUUUAAGACAAGUCCUUAUUUAGAAGGAACACUUAUUGAUUAUCCUUAUAAGCUGGUCAUCUUAAACGGAACACCAGUGAACUCUUUCAAUAAGGGAACACCAAAUAACUCGACCCAAAAUGAUGUUAGUUUCCUCAACAAAGCUAAACAAAUUACAAUAGUCAUUUCUAUAUUACAGUGAGGUAUUAGAACUUCCAUAAAUAAAACAGAUGGUAAAAUGUAAUUAAACCCGCAUGACAAUAUGAUACAAAACCAUUAAAUCACCGAAUAUACCUUAGCAGCCACUUCCAAUGAUUUGCGGUAGAGUUCGUUUGAAGGAUCCUAUAUAAAACAAAAAACACUGUUACAAAUUAUGUUUACUUAUGUUUACAAGUCAACGAGUAAAAUACUUCCCACACUUCAAUGAUACAUUCAUCGAUACUGAACUAAAACUGUACCUCAUCAAUAGCUUGUUGAAAGUACACAGCUGCCUUGUCAAAGUAAACUUUAGCCUCGUCCACAUCUGGGUUUAAAAAUGCCUGUGAAGUGAGAGCAUUUCCCAGGCACCAAAGAGCGUCAUGCUUGUUGGGAUUCACAGAAAGAGCCUCCUCCAGCUUCGAAAUAGCAUCUGAAAACCAAAUUUCAAGUGAGAAAUCCACAGAAAACAAACGAAUAUUCAAAAUCAGAAGUUCAAGAAUAACCCCCCCGAUUUGCUGCAGUCAGAAUAUGAUGAGUCAAUUCAGUAAGUAAAUCAGAACCAUUAGAUACAAUCAAACGACUCAAUUUCUAACCUUAGUGAUUCUGACUCAAAAAAAUACAAACUCAAACUAUGAACGUUUCAAUUUAUCAACAGAAAUAACAGUGUUUUUGGAUUCAAAUAGAUUUUUUCAAGUCAAAAUUGUGAAACUUAAGAUGAUAUACUGCAGGCACGUGAAAAUUAAGUAUCUAUGUCUCUCAUUAGCCAAUAAAUAGGUACAGCUGCAGGCUUACUAAAUCAAAAGAGAGGUGUUACAGCCAAUAGAAAUUUCACAUGAUAUAUAUGAAAAUUUUCAUACAAGAUCUAUUUCCCCGUAUCAUUAUAUGGCCCCUAAGCAUUCAUCACGCUUCUUCUAUAGGAAUUUAAUAACUCUAAAAAAAAUCCCCUCUAAACACAAGUCCAAACAAAGCACAAAAACCGUUUAAUAAAAACACAGGUAAAAAACUUCAACAAAAUUGUAAAAACAAAGAGACUAGGUCAUAUAGAGAAUAAGCACCAAGGGUCAUCUUCUUUGACUCGGGCAAAGGCUGAAACUGAGACAACUCUAACAGAGCUCCACCCCAUCUUGUCAAAUUCUGCAGAGAUUCAAAAUAACAAAAACCAAAAGUUAUACACAAAAUUUCCAAAAUAACAACUCACCAUAUGUCUAAAAGAAUUUCCAAAAAUUAUACACAAAUUCCAACACAACAACUCAUUUAUAUGUACCAGAAACAAAUUCCAAAAAUCACACACAACCUCCAGCACAACAACUCCUCUGUAUGUACCAAAAACAUUCGAAAAUUAUACACAAAAUCUCCAGCCCAAUAACUCAUCCAUAUGUACCAAGAAAAUUUCCAGAAAUCAUACACCAUUUCCAACACAACAACUCAUUCAUAAGUACCAAAAACAUUCAGAAAAUUAUACGCAGAUAAUAUAACACAACAACUUAUCCAUAUGUACCAAAAAAAAAAAUCAAAAUUAUACACAAAUCUGCAGCACAACAAUACAUAACCAUAUGUACCAAAAAUGUGCAACACAAAUAUACCUUCAUAUGUUCCAAGAAUUAUACACAGAUUUGCAACACAACAAUACAUCCAUGUAUACCAAAAAUUAUACACAAUUUCCACACAACAACUAUGUCAUAUGUAUGUACUAAUUAUUAUACACAAUUUCUAGCACAACAAUUAAUCAAAAACUAUACACAAAAUUUCCAACAUAAUCGAUAUGUAACAAACAUUAUACACAGAAUUUCCAAUACAACAACAAAAACUAUACACAAAAUUUGCAACAAAACAAUUCAUCCUUUGUUUACCAAACUCAUUCAUAUACACCAAAAAGAAUUCCAAAAAUUAUAAACAAAAUUUACAAAAAUUCAUCAAUAUCUAUACUAAAUCAACAAAAAAUCAGAUUUUUUUCUGGAAGAUAAACUAACAACAACACACCCAUAUACACAAAAUAAUCAUGAACCGACCCAUGAUAAUAAAGUUGAAAUCUUUCGUAAUUUCACAAAAUAAAAAUCGAAAAAAAAUCGAUAAUUUUAAAAAAACAAAUGAAAAAAAAUAGGGAAAAAUUGGAGACUGACAUCAGCAUCGAGAGGAUUCUUGGCGUAUUCAGCUUCAGCGGUUUUGCGUGCGUGCUCGAAGAACAAGAUACGAUCGAAUUCGUUCUGUUGAAAAUCCAUGGAAUCUGAGUGAGACAAUUUUCUGUUUCUAGGGUUUUGGGUUUUGCGUGCUGUAAGAGACUGAUGAGUAUAUAGUGAGAAAUUGAAAAUCAAAUUAAUGUGUCUUUAUUAUUUUAACUCAAGAUUAAUGUUUUUUUUCUUUUACCACAAGAAACUUUUUCUUUUUAUUAAAGCUCAUAUUUUCUCUAAUAAUUAUUCAAGAACACAUGAAUGAUACAUAGUAUUUGAUAAAAGUAUCUCUUUUAAUUUAAUCAGAAAAGUUGGGUUCAAAAAUGAGGGUUUUGUUAUUCAUUUCGAUCAUAUUUAUCUCGAAAGAUUAGUCUUUUCAGGUGUAUUGUAUUAUCAUUGACGAGUAAAUAGGCAAUUUUUCUCUAAAAUUGUAAGUUUUGUCAAUUAUCCCAUGAAAUUGCAUAACGUUACUCAAUUUACCCCCUUCGUCAAAUUUUUUUGUUAGUAACAUUUGACUGUUUACGGUUAUGAUCAAAUACCCACCAGAAAUUUUACAUUUAUGUGCAAAAUGCCCCAUAAACUUGAAAAUUUAUAUUUUUUUUCCUUACCAAAAAGCAUACAUUCAGUUCUUGAAGUAGUAUAUUGUAACUAUUGUCAUCAAAAUUCUAUUCACAAGAACAUGAAUGAAUAUAUGCCAAAGAAAUAAUGGUUUUGUCAUGUGUAGCCUUUUCAUUCAUAUUUCAAAUAUAUCAACAAGGAGCAAGAUAAUUUUUUUAUAAAGAAGUAAAACUAAAAACCAAAAAUUAAAAAUAUAUCAAGCUAUUGAAAUAAACCAAGACAAGAAUGUCAUAGCAGUAGAAAGUUGAUAUCUAUCACAUAACUUUGCAGGAUAAUAUGAUCUACCGGCUUCAUCCAGAAGAUCUCCGACACAAUCUAUUUAACAUGCUGCAGCUAAUAGAUAUGACAUUUCAUGCAUUAUAAAAUUAUAUCAUUAAUUAAGUUGCAAACUCACAAAGCUAAGCCUUGUUUCUUCUUCCUUCUGCUGAUAUUAACCUAUGAAUUUUUUUUAUGGACAAACAAUUAUCAAAGACUUGUGUACUCUUAUGACUGGAUACUCUAACAUAAUUACCAACUUGUGUAAAAAAAUGUCUUCUAUAUAUGUAUAUAUUUAAAACAUAUGAGACUAACAUACCUUCCAUAAAGAUUUAUAUGACCAAUAACUGCAUAAACUUACAUUCCAUAAAGAUUUAUAUGAUCAAUAAUUGUUAAUUGUUUGUCUUUAAUAUCUUUUAAGUCAAGGAUAAGAAAAAAAUAUAUAAAUUUUCAAGUUCAGCGGGCAUUUUGCACAUAAGUGCAAAAUUUCAUGGGGGUAUUUGAUCAUAACGUUAUGCAAUUUCAUGGGGUAAUUAAAGUUUUGUUAAUUACAGGGGGUAAUUGACAAAACUUACAAUUUCAUGGGGGAAAUUGCCUAUUUACUUUAUUAUUGACACUCUUUACAUUAGGUGUGUCUCAAUGUCAGACAUGCAUCGCCAUCCGAUAUCGACACGACAACGACACAUAUGAUUACACCGAAAUACGUAAUUUUCUCAAAUUGUUAACAAUGUUGACAUGUUUAUGAUAUGUGUUUGGUAUUCGUGUUUGGGUCAUGUUUCAUAGAUUUCAAUCAAUUGAGUACCUUUAUUGUUUUAAUACAAGAUUUAUAGGAAAUUUUUCUACCAAAACAAAAAUAAAAAUUAUGGUUUUUCUUUGCUUAGUAAAGAUGAUGGUUUCUCUUCUACAAGAAGAAACUUAUAUUUUCUUAAAAAAAAACAAGAAACUUAUCUUUUUUACAUUUACGAGAAGAAAUAUAAUUUCAUAAAUAAUGAAAUAUAAAAUAAUCAAUACACAUAAAUAACGAGUCUUAAAAUAUAAAAUAACGAAAAAUAAUUACAAACAUAAUAGAGGAUUGAUCCACCACACGUGCUAACUACAAACAAAGUUCACAGGUUUCACCUCUAGCCACUCAUAUAGAAUAAGAAUGAGUCUUGAUUUUGUCAAGCAGGUGGUGAAUAGUAUCAUAUUUAUUUUUGAAGAUUAUAUCAUUUCGUUCUCUCUAAAUGAUCUAAACAGAGGAAAACCAUAUCAAAAGAAGAAGCUCACGUUUGGAUUUUGAUAAAACGCUCAAAACACUAAACCACGUCAUGUGUUACGAGAUAUGGUAUGGAACUACCAUGACGAGGCCUAAACCAAUCAUAAAAUGUUGCAAUGAAUAAAAAGAUGGGCCGUGUCCUCCAGAUUACAACAAUUUUCCAUAUGUAAUUAACAUUAUCUUGCAAAAAAUAGAAUUCAACAGAGCACUACCUGACGGUAUGUUUUUCUGAAGUAUGUAAACUCCACACCCACAUGUCAUUAACAUCAUCUUGCAAAAAAUAGAAUUCAACGGAGCACUACAAUCCCUUAGUUGAUCCUCCUCCCAAGCUGAUAACCUCCUACGCUAAUUUCAAGCCCCACCGCUCUCACCCCAUCUUGGAUGCCUCAUCUCAAACACAAUUGUCAUUUUAUUAUCAGAAAACUAAAAAAUGUUGCUAAACAUAUCCUUCAAGACCCCUCAUCUCAACCAAAUAUCCCACCAAAAUAAAAUCCAAGCUCCACGCCUACCUCACACACAUAAUUAUCAUCUAUCCAACCUCUCACUCCCACUCCAACACACAAACUAGUAUUGAUUAAAUUACUCAACCAAACUGAUCCCCCUUCCCCUUCCAUGCGCAACAUACGACCAUCCUCUCUAAAUUUGAUUGAAAGAACUCUAUAUCAUAAACUACUUCACUCCUCCUUCAACCUCGAACAUCAUUUACCUAGGAUAGCCAUGUUAAAUUCCCUUUUUUUUUAAUAAGCCGUGUUAAAUUCCCUUAUCAAAGACUAUUUUGAAAUAUUAGCAAAAGUUUUUCGAUUAGAUCUUGUCUCUAUGUUUUUGUCAUAUGACGAUGGACUUAAUUGAAAAACUUUUGACAAAGAUAAGAUUAUUUUAAAAUGUUAAUUGAGUCAGAAACUAAUUUAAGAGUGACUCACAAAGAUAUAAACCAAUUUCGUAUGAUAAAAAUCACACAAAAAAGUGAAGGGUCAAAACGGUAAACCAUAAAGUGUGUGUUGAGAGUGCCCCAUCAUGGUCACAUUUGACAUUUGGAAAUGUUCACAAGUUGGGAAUUUGGUCUCAGUAAUUAAUAAUAGAGCUACUUCUUGGCAUGACGGUGGCCACUAUAGAAUUUCAGCUUGCAAAAUUCAUUGCAGAAGACAUGUUCUAGUUCGUACAUACAAUCAGCAUCUUCAUUGAUUUGCUCAGUCAACAUGUACAUUUCUCUUGUCUCUAUUUGUUGUUUCUUUUUUCAUUUCUCUUUCUGUGUCUACUAUUUUUGUCACAUGUAAAAGGUCAAAGUUGACAUCGUUGUUUCACUUUCCUAAAAUAGACCACUCUUACAUUUUCAAAGCCGCUAUUGCAAACCAACAACAUACAACAAAAUCUUUAUGUUUCUCUUGUUACUGGACAACUUUACUUGCGGUAAAAAUUUCUCUACACAUAUGAUGCUUUGUUGCGGGACUGUUAUUGGAAUUGAAUGCAAAGAUGAGGUUGUGAUGGUAAGUUAAUCCAAAUGUUAUUAUGAUAUUUGUUCUAAUGCUUGCUUUUAUUGUGUGUUCUACCAUGUUUAUUUGUUUUAGUUGUUCCUAUGAGAUAGCUAAGAAAUUUUACAUUAUAGAAUGACCAAUUUAAUGCAGGUACCAUGAAAUUCUUAUUCUUGUGUGACAAUGUACUAUAACUGAGUUGAAAUUUGAAAACAUUGCGCAUUGGUGAUACUUUUUUUAUUAGUAGUUUUCUUUAGCAUAUAAUGUAUGUGUCACGUUCUAGUUGUUAUGAUAUAGUUUAAACUUCUCUUAAUGUAUGUAUGAAUCUUUUUCCGAUCUUAGGCCUUAGCAGGAUUAGCUGCAGAUGGAAUGCAAAUUGUUGCCGGGGCUAAGUCGGAAGCAUAUAACUAUGACAGCUGGUUUGCUCCAUUCGCUGAUCACCCUUUAUUUUUUCUAAACAUGUACAUCAUUUUACCGUGUUUACUGAUUAAAUUAAUACACUAUCUUUAUGAUUGGAUUGUCAUAUGCUAUAAAGGAUAGAUGAACAUGGACUAAUCGAAACCCUACACUGGAAAAUAAGUUAACAUUGUUUUGGUUAUUAAGUUAAUCUAAUUAUCAGUUAUUUUCAUCAUUUAGCUAUAUUUAAUUCCUCAAGGAAAAACAGUAGUAGCUAGACCAAUUAUAUUUUAGGGCGACUAAUUGAAACCCUAUGUCUUGAUUCAACUGUAUUUUUUUCCUUUGUACUCAACCUUAUUGUAAAGAAAAUAUCAAAUCGUUUUAGGUUAUUAUAAGCUCCUAUUAACUGUGUUAAGAUUAUGAUAGUUGCAUGAGGUUCUAGAGAAACCAAUUACAUGUAGCCUAAAAACGGAAGGGGACCUAUAAUGAUAGAUCUCAUAAUUCUGAGUUUUUCUUAAAUGUUUGUGUGUAAAUUUUGAAAAGAAAGAAUGUUUAUUCUGGUGUAAAUUACUUUUCAGCGUGUACGGUGACCCAAUUCUUGUCAAGGAACUUGUUGAUUGCGUGGCUAGUUAUGUGCACCUCUGUACAUUUUAACAAUCAGCUGUUGAAGGUUGAGCAAGAUAGGAGCCAAUAUUGCAUAGAUCUCUUACUAUGUGUAGCUUAUAUGUAGGAUAAUAAUUAUUAGAGUGGUUGAUAUAUGUGUACCUCAACCAUCAUGCCCUUCUGGAGUGAAUUUUUUUUCUGCUUCCCAGUCUUAAUGUGUAUUUUGAAAUGCAAGUUUUCUUUUGUACGAUGUUGCUGCCACUGGUCUGGGGAGGGUAUAAACCUAAAAUGCAAUAAUUUGGUAUAAGUAUGUGCAUAAAUAUGAUCAAGGUUUAUUCGUGUAACUCCGCACCAUCUCCAUUUCCUUUGUGCAAUAGCAUGGUGUAAAAUUGAUUAUGAUAUUUUGAUAAAUAUAAAAAAUAAUGGUUAUGCGGGUCGACCAGACGUAAGAUAUUUCAAUUAGUAAAAAUGUCUUUUUUCAAUAUAAAAAUGUCUGUUGUUACUUCUAAUAUUCUUAAUGUGAAACUUUACCAUUUUUUUUUCAAUUAUAUGUGCCAAGCACUAGCAGUAUAUGGAGUUCAUGCCAAGGCAAAGGAUAACUCGAAAUGAGCUGGGUCUGUGAGGAAUCAAACCGCCAACAUGAAAAGACAAGGCAGGUUGUACUUUGAGUUACUUAUAUUCAAUGACAUAUUUUCCUCUCAAUUACUUUAAAUCAAGGAUUAUAUAUGGAAUUUACAUAGUGAAGCAUCAAGGAUUAAAAACAUGAUUAGCAUUUGCAAGUAAGAGUUAUUGAAUAAAACCUUGAAUAAGGCAAUACAAUAAUACCAUGUAAUUCUUAAAAGGGUAUUCUGUAGCGCUAUAUUGUAGUGGAAUUUGAACACAUCACUAUUUUAUGUGAUUUGCGAUUGACAACACUAUUGAUAAGCAAGCGCAUGCGCGCGAAAAUUGUUUUACAUAUUGCAUUUCAACCUCACAAAAACCUUAUGAAAUUUAUUUACGGAAUAUUUAUGAACCAUCACGGCGUCAUUGCUAUAAUCUUUUCUGUUAAUUUGCAUCCUUUGUUCACGAAUGUAGAUUUUUUCAUGGAACAUAGCAAGCUUGUCACUCGACAGUUUUUUAUUUUUCUUCUAAUAGCUCCUCUCUCUCUGACCCUACCCUAGUCCCAUGUCGUUCUUCUAAUGCAAUAACCUAAAACUCGUCCAGUCAAUUGAAUUUAGCAUCUAUGUAAAAUUACUUCAAACACGUGAUUUUGUGUCUUCUACUCUUCUCACCGUAAAAUAUCAGAAGCUACAAACGGUAGAUUUGAAUUGGAUGUGCAUCUAACUCUUAGUCGAACUUGGUAAAAAAACACAUACUCAAUUAAUAUCGGUAAAAACUUGCUUUUGUUAGGAAAAAAAUGCAUCCAAGUGUUUGAAGAGUUGAUUAAAAAUAGGCGCUGAGACAGCCGGCAAAGCAGCUCUUUAAGAAAUGGGCGCUGAUUAAAAAUAUUCACCCCAAAAGAUGUAUUUCAUAACUUGUACUAGAGCAAUGGGAACAUCCAUAAAAAAUUCAUAGGCUUCACAAGUUGGUUUUUUUGUUGAACUUGGACAAUUAAUCAACUUGAACAUAGUUUGGAACUCGACUCAACAAUCAAUUAGUUGAACUUGGUUCAUGAACUAAAUGAGGUGAAAAUUUUGUUCGUUAACUAAAUUAGUUGAAUUUGAACUAUAUAUACUUUGGCUUGUUUGGUUAUAUGUGUGUGUGUUUGUGAGUGCGCGUGUGCGUGCGUGUGUAUAUAUCCAUAUUUAUUUUACAUCUUUUUCUUCAAUCAACAAUCAAUAUUAUGUUGAAAACAUAAACUAACUCACUCUCUUAACGAUAAAAAUGUAAAGAUACAAACAAAUUUAAUAUUACUAACAACUUUCUUAAUUCCUGUGAUUUGACCAAAAUGAUCCUAUGAUUAAGCGGCAAGAAAUGAUCUUUUUAUCAAGUAAAUCAGGGAACUUACUCUGCUUGAUAAUUCUAAUUCUGACAUGGAGUAUUUUCUCUGAUUUACUUGGUAAAAAGUUCAUUUCUUGCUGCUUAAUCAACAACUUUAUCUCAUUUUAUAGAUAGAUUAUUAUUAAUUACUGACUAGUUAAACCAUUUAUAGAACUAGACCAAGACAAACUUGAUUUGCUGAUUUAGCAGUCAUUUGUUCUCUUCUAUUUAUCAAACAAACAAACUCUUAAAAAUUUAGUUUGGAAGCCUUCUUCUCUUAUAUAUCUCUUAUUUAAGCCAAGCCUUAGGAUAAGAAUUCAACUACACUCUUAUUUUAAAAAUCUACAACUUUCUCAGAAAUUAUGGUUGUUCUCAAGUUUUUGCUUCAUUAUUUCUACAUUUUUUUCACUAUCAGCGCGAGCGCGCUACUUUAAACUACUAAGCCUAUGUUUUUUUAUUCGUUUUGCAAUCCAUGUUUUAUUCAAAAGGCAAAAAACUGUGUUAACAAAGAAGCUCCAAAUCCAAUUACUAGCUUUUGUAAUUUCCUUUAAAUUAAGCCUUUUAGUAUGUUUAACGGGUAACUGUUGGGGGUGAGGAUAUUGAUCCCAUUUUGAGGGAUGCGGAACCCCAAAAAAUAAUAAUUCUAACUGUUAGCCAAAGGGGUGGCGGAUAGAAGGGUCGUCAUAUCCAUUGGCCCGGGAUAUUUCAGGUACUUUGUUACCCUAACAUAUAUCAUUAUAUCCAGUUAAAUAUUUAUAUAUAUAUAUAUAUAUAUAUAUAUAUAUAUAUAUAUAUAUAUAUAUAUAUAUUAAUAUGAAGCUAAAUUUAUAUUUGAGUAAUGCAGUCUGGUUUGAAGUUAUUUGUUUAUAUAUAAUUUGAUCAGAAUUUCUUGGUUUUGAGAGUAGUUGUUGGAUAAGUCAUGGUUGUUGGAACAAUGGAACCUGAUGUAUUAUAGUUUGGAACUCAACUCGACAAUUAACUCGUUCGGAAUUCAUUUGAUCUCUUAAAAAUAUACUCCACUAAUGAAUCAAUUAAUCAACUCGAAUAUAGUUCGAAACUCGACUCGACAAUUAACUCGUCGAAUUUGAUUCAUGAACUAAAUGAACAUAAAAUUUUGUUCGUUAACUAAAUGAGUUAAACUUGUACUAUAUAUAGUUCAACUCAAUUGGUUCAUGAGUUGACUCGAUUAUAUGUCUGUAAAUCUGUGUGCGUUUAUGUGUGUGGAAAUGGAAGAGUUUCUUCUUUUUUUAGGAUACUCUCAAUUUUAAUUGUGGUUUUACCUUGAGUUUUGUCUGUGUUACGUGUACUGGUUUUAUUGUGCUUAUUUGUAUUUUUUUUUUUUUUUUGGUUGUUUGUAUCUUGCUAUAUUUUUAGCUUUCUAUAUUUAUUUGCAUACUUAUGCAAGUAUAACUUUGUAUUUGUGUCUGUCUUUUAAACAAUAUAUGUUUGUGAUGACUUUUUAUUUAAUUCAAUCUUUUCUUUUUAAAAAGGAAAAUUAAAAGAUCAAAGAUAUAGAAAAAUGAUUUUUGAAUUAUAUGAUUUGAGUCGACGAGCUGAACGUAAACGAGAUGAAUCGAGUUGCUUGUGAACUUAAAACGAGCUAAACUUGAGCUAAAAAAAUGUUUGUUUAGAACUCAAGUCGAGUUUUGAGCUGAACCAAUUCUUAUCUAGUCGAGCUUAGAAGAAUUUGAAUCGACUCGAAUCAUUCCAGCCCUAAUAAGGAGGGUUAUCAUUUCCACUAGCUCUGGAGUUUACAUUUACCACAAAUUUUACUUGUUAACUUUUUCCACUUGAUGAAAGUACUGUCAAGUAAGGUUAGGUUUACGGGGGUAGAAUCUAGCAUUCCCAUCUCGGAAACAAUUCUUUCAAAGUUUUUUUUUUUUUUUGAAGAAGCUAAAUUAGCCCACCCAAAUUGGCACUGGAGAGAAUUGAACUUGAGACCUUGAGGAGGAGGGAGGACACUCCCAGGUCCCCAAUUCUUUCAAAGUUAUUGAUGUCCAAGACGCUUUUUAGCCAUAGUUGUUCACAUAUCCCCAAGUCACAAGGUUCCCGCAAGUGCAAUAUCCUGUAGUUGAUCUCCUAUCCACAAUUGAACGUUCAAAGUUAGGAUCUGUAUAUGCUUCAAGUCUCAUACUUCCACUUUGUUCAAACAAAAUUCCUCUACCUGGGGUUCUUUUAAAAUAAUGAACAAUUCAAAGUGCAGCUUGUAAAUUAUAUUUUAGGGUGACUAAUUGAAACCCUAAGUAAUGAUUCAACUGUAUUUUUUCCUUUGUACUCAACCUUAUUGUAAAGAAAACAUCAAAUCGUUUUAGGUUAUUAUAAGCUCUUAUUAACCGCGUUACGAUUAUUAUAGUUGCAUGAGGUUCGAGAGAAACCAAUUACAUGUAGCCUGACAAUGUUCACGCUGGUGUGAGAGUCCAAGUUUUCCCGGUUCCUUGCAUCGUAGUAUUCCUAAAAACGGAAGGCGGCCUAUAAGGAUAGAUCUCAUAAUUCCGAGGUUUUCAUAGAUGUUUGCGUGUAAAUUUUGAAUAGAAAGAAUGUUUAUUCUGGCAUAAAUUACUUUUCAGCGUGUACGGUGAUCCAAUUCCUGUCAAGGAACUUGCUGAUCACGUGGCUAGUUAUGUGCACCUUUGUAUUUUGAAACCUAUGAUGGUUUUCUUUUGAAAUGCAAGUUUUCUUUUGUACGAGGUUGCUGCCACUGGUCUAGGGAGGGUAUAAACCUAAAAUGCAAGAAUUUGGUAUAAGUAUGUGCACAAAUUUGAUUAGCGUUUAUUUGAUUCUGUCUUAUGCUGUAUUGCAUUAGUUUCGACAUCAGAAUUUUGUCUUACAAUGUUAUCUUGCUAAUGUCUUGGCAGAGAGAUUGAAAAGUUGAAGCUUGCCGAUUUGACCUGCCGACAAGGAGUUAUUGAAGUAGAUAAGAUGUAAGUAGCUUGAUUAUUUCCAGUGUUUGUCAUAAUUUUUAUGUUUUUAAUGUGAAUGUGAAACUUGACCAACUUUGUAUUUAGACAUGUUCAUGUGUUUAUUGUAUGUACCAAUUGGUUACAAUUUGUGAUUAGGGCAUAUUUGAUAACUCGUAGAAUAUAAGAAAAAUAUAAAAAAGAUGGAAUAUUUUUCCAAUGCACACUACUCCUUAUAUGACAGUUGCCAAACUGUAUAUAUGGAGUUCAUGACGAGGCAAAGGAUAAAGAUUUCGAGCUUGAAAUGAGCUGGGUGUGUGAGGAAUCAAACCGUCAACAUGAAAAGGUAAGGCAUGGUGUACUUCGAGUAAAUCUCUAUUUUUAUGUCAUUUGUGAUUGACAACAUUACUGAUAAGAUUUUCGACUUACAAUACUACUGAUAAGCAAGUGUAUGAAUGUAGGUCCUCCCAAGAAAACUUUAUGAAAUUUAUCAUUGAAAUUCUACUAGACCAUCACUACUCUAUUGCUAUAAUCUUCUUUAGUAUGUGACUUUCUAAAUAUAGUGUGUUUUCAUACCUUUUGUUUGUUAUGGAAGUUUUGAAAACUUUGAUUUCUACCAUUGAAAGAAGCACACUAUAUACCUCUAGAACCCUUUGUCUAUGAAUGUAGAGCCUCCCAUGGAACAUACCAAGCAAGUCAGUACACAGUUUUUGUCGUCUAAUAGCUCCUCUCUCUCUCACUGGCCCCAUCCCCUCCUCCCGUGUCAUUCUUGUCAUCAUGCGAUGACCUAAAACUUGUCCUGUCAAUUGAAUUUAGCAUCUGCUUAGAACAGCUCUAUUUACUUAAACACACGAUUUUGCCUCGUCUCACCGUGAAAUAUCAGAAGCUACAAAUUGUAGCUUUUAAUUUGACGUACAAAUGGAAUUAUGGAAAUAAGUUGAAACCAAAUACUUUUAAUCCUGUGUAUGAAAAAUGAAAUGAUGUGUAGAGUAAGAUAAAAUAAAGACAUGUUUGGUUUCAUAAAAAUAUGAAGCCAUUAACUUCACAUGGAACUUCAAAAAGUAAAAAAAUCUUAGUAGUUCAGGCAACAAAAGUCAAGACAUUGCUAUGAAAUUAAGUAGACUCACAUAAGAGACAGCAGAACAUUGGUCCACCUCUGUCGUAACCACUGAGUAUGACACCCAAACAUGCAAGAGUGAAUUUGAUUCAUACAUAGCAUCGGAACGGUAAUGUGAACGAUAAGAACUAGUUAGUUUGAUUUGAUUCUAUUGUGUUGUUCUUUCCUUCUUCCUAGAAAAUGAAUGGUGGAAAGAUGGAAAUGAAGAUAUGGAUCAUUUUUGCAUUCGAUAAUUACAAGGCAUUAGGGUUUCUUGUAUUGUGAAUAUAUGUAAACUUGAGACAUUUUAAUUUGUAUUUUAACAGACUGCUUUUACAUCUAAGAAAGACUAUGGGACGGAAGAUAGGGCAGCAAAGUGGGUUCUUUCUCAGGCUUCGAGGUCAGUGGAAGGCGGUCUGAUAAAGUUGACAUAAUCUGUGGGACAAUGAGCCGAAAAACCAGGAAGUAACAGUCCUAUUAUCCUUACCAAUAUGCGAAACCACCCUUCCUUAUACUCUGCUCCUUAACUUAUUUGAUCGCUUAGCUCAACUAAGAGAGCUAUUCAUCCCACCACCAGCACCAUAACACUAUAGUGUAGUGGAAUUAAAAAAAAAAACACGCUAUUUUUUACGAGGUUGACAGCACUAGUUGAGAACACAUAAUUGGCAUGUUGUCCAUAGUUAUAUAUAUGUUCAGUGAUGAUAAUUUGAUUGGAAUUGAAUCAAUUGAGAAAAAAUAGAUGCAAGUUUUGGACUUUAGAAUGAUGUAACAUUUGGAUUUUUCAACUUUUAUGCAAUGGUAGACAUUGGGAAAAGUGUUUAAUUUGAACAAAUCGUGUAUGAUAGGAAUGGCUCUAGUUUUUCAGCGCUAUUAAAUUACUUUCCCUGUGGUAUUUGAAUAUGGAGUAUUUAUAGGGCUUUAGGUUCGAAAAUCUUCUAGAACUAUAUAACGUUUUAGAGUAGCAGAAUUUGAACAAACUGCUAUUUUCCGCAAUCCGUGAUUAACAACACUAAGCAUGAUAGGUGCCACACUUAAUUUUCCAUAAUUCAGGAUACAUAAUUUUAAUCUUUUAAUCAGCAUCCAUUUCUUCCAGAGUUACUUUGGCUGCUGUCUUAACUUCUUCUAGAAGCUCUUCAGGGUCCAGCACAUAAUAUAAGUUAAUGAAAUAUGUGUUUGUUUUCACGGUCAACUAAGGGUAGAUGUAUGUCAAAUUCAAAGCUACAGUUUUUAGGAUAUGAUAUUUCACAGUGAGACGAGGCAAAAUCGUGUGUUUUAAGUAACUGGAGCAGUUUUAAACAGAUGCGAAAUUCAAUUGACUGGAAAGGUUUUAGGUCAUUGCAUGAGAAGAAUGACAUGGGAGGCAGGUCCAAAAGACUAAUGCAAGUGUAAAAACUAAAUAGCAAAAUUUCAAACCGGAGAUUCUAAUCACACUUUUAGAAUCACUUGAACCCCGGCGCCCAUGAAAACAGGUCUAUAUCUAUAGAUCCACUUACGUUCUCGCAGCCUGCCUGCCCUUCCCGAUUGCAGCUCCAAAAUACCUCUAAAACAAAUACCAAUACAAACAAAUCAGCUCACAAAAUCACAUAGAAUUACAAACAAACAAAAAAUAAUAAUGGUAGCUCAGGCAACGAUCACUACAAAAAACGCACAUGAAUUGCGACGGUUUUUAAUAGUCUAGACAUUGCGAUCAAAUAAAAGGUCUCACAUAAGCGACACCAGAAUGUUCGAACAUGUACAACUGUGGUCCUUCUCUGUCAUAAUCAUAACCACCUAGUAUGAAACUACAUCCGAAAGGUCUGCAGCACCAUUACAAAUCAGUAAUUAAUAUGAAUUACGAGCUUAUAUUAUUAUAAGCAUUGUUUUGCUUUAUGAUUAAAAUCAAUAAAAAAAUAAUCGUUUUGCUUUUCUAAAUUUCUCUCUAAAUUCAAGAGUAUGAUUCACAUUCAAAUUGGAUCAUAUCAUUUGAUACUUUCAUUGAUGGAGCUUUCACUUUUCGACGGAGACAAUGUCUAUUGUACGUUGGAUCCUUGUACCGAAAGUUAUUUAUGUGGGACCAAAAAAUCCGAGGUGGCUAAGAUGACGGGGUUGCAUUGACCGUGCGAGGUCGUGCUCUCUAUCGAUGGCUAUGGUGGUCUAGCUAUCACCCAAAGUCUAGCUAGGACACCUUUACCGUUACUCUUUUUAUGGCGUUUCAAUCUUAAAUAAAGGAUUUUUAUAAUCAGUUUUUUAUUUUAUAAAAAAAAAUUGAUGACGUGGAUGAAGAAGAUGGAUUAAAGAAUGAAUAUGAUUUUUUUUAAUUUGAUGAAGAUAUAGAUGAAAUUGAUAGAGAAGCGUAACGUGAAAAACAUUUUUUUAAUAAAAAUUAAUUGAAGGGUUUUUAUAAUGAAUUAUUUAUUUUUAUUAAAAAAAUUGACCAAAAUAAGUGUAAACUAUAUACCCUUCCAAAGAAGAAAGUGUAAUUUCUUUUUCUUUUUUUGGUCAAAUAAAAAUUCUUUCAAUUAGUUAGCUAAAACAAAGAUUAUGGAUUGGAUGGUUAUAGCUUCCAACAUCAUUGUGUGUCUAUUUUGCAAUGCUUCCAAACAUAAACAGUAUAAUAUAGUAUAAUAACAUAAAAAUUAGGUAAAUGUGUUUUAUCCAUUGAGCAAAAAAAGAAAUAAGUUUUGUCCAUUUGAUGUAACACACACCACAAAUUAACUAGCAAUGGGACCAAUAUGCACCGUUCUCCCACUUUUGUCAAUGAUUAGUCUUCAUUUAAGGACUUGGUUCGCCACUAUUAAUAGGUCUUCCCUCUCAAUCAUAUUUUUCUCAUUCAUAAUGUUCGAAUAAAUAUUGUAUGUACUAGUCUAGUAGUACCAAUGAGAAACCCAUUGAGAAACAAAUGAACAAGUUCAUAAAAAGCAAAAAAGCAUGAACUAUAGUUUCCAACAUCCUUGUGUGUUUAUUUUGCUUUGCUUAAAUAGUAGAAUAUAACAUAAAGAUUAAGAUGUGUUUUAUCCAUUGAGCAAAAAACAAUGUUUUGUACAUUGCAGCACACACCACAAAUUAACUAAAAAUAUGCACUGUGGUCAUUCUUCUACAACACAUGAUUUCAUACCUUAUUAUGUAUGAAUUUGUAUGUUAUUCAAAUUGAACUACCCAAAACAUCCCAAUAAAGACUUUAUAUCUCAUGAGGUCAUGCCUUUGUAUCUUGCUGAAAUUUUGAGCUGAUAAAAAUUUCUAACUUUGUUAAAAAAUAAAGACUUGAAUAAUGGGAUUUGUACUAUGAUGAGUCAUUAAUCAGUGGUUUUUAUAUAAUAUUUGGUUUCGUUUUAUUUAGAUUUAAGUUUAUUUUAUUUUAAUAUUAUUUCUUUUUAGAAUUAUUUUACUUCAAUUGCAUAUUAUUAUAUUUCAUGAACGAAUAUUUGAUAGAUUGAGUCUUUGAGCAAAAGAAAGAGGAUUAGGAGCUGAUUCGGGUGAAAAAUACGAAGAUUGAAGACAAAAGUAUAUUCUCCCCAAGUCAUAAGCUUGGCACGGCCAGUGCCACCAGCAGGCACGGCACGGCCGUGCCACCUCCCAGGGCCUCUUUUGCUUCAUGUACAAGUUGCCUAUUUUGACCUAAAAGCCCGUGGUUUCUUGUGGAACAUUAUACUGAAUAGUUGCUUAGGUUUUAAGUCGACAUAAGACUAUAAAUAGAGUAGUCAUCUAUCAUAACAAUUCAUCUUUUGUUCUUGGAAUUCAAUAAGUGACAAUUGUCUUUCUAAUAAAAGUUCUUUCUUUAUUUCUUUGUUAUUUACUUUAUGUUUUUCUUCUUCUUCUCCAUGUCUACGAUGAACAUGAGUGAGUAGACUUCUCUUUUCUUGGGAUUGUUGGAUAAGUCUAAUGACAUAAUCCUAAUCAAACCAAGCCUUAAACCCUAAUUUUAUGUAACCCUAUUUUCUAAUCUAAAUUCACCGUUUUAACAUGAAUUAACCAUUAUCAAACUGUUGAAGCGAAAGUGGAGGGUUUGAUAAUUGUUUAUCCAUCAUCUCAAAUAUCAAUUCAUAAAACGAAAGUGGAGUUUUGAUAUUCGAACAAGUGAAUUUAGACAAGGAUUGUGAAACAUGAAAAUAGUCUAGCAAACCUUCAGACACAUAAAGUUUCGAGCUUCAAGGAUUCCAAAGGCAAUCAACCAUGAAAAUAGGCGUGGUUGCUAGAGGAACACACUCACUGAGACCGAAAGGAGAUGUGAUAGGCUAAAGAGAAACUUGUCUUUACAAAUUAGGUCUAACAUAAAGUUAUAAGUUUAAAGGUUUGGUUUGUGAAGGGUUUGUCACCAUGAUGGAUCAAUAAUCCCAAGACUCUCUUUUAUUAUUAUAUUUUCUUUCAAUCGUUUAAAUACCCCAACUUUGAAAUUUAACCUCUUCUAAUCAUCAACUAAAGUUAAUUGAAUUGAACAACUCCCUAUCGAAACGAUACUCUUUUUAUUACUACAUCGGUAGAACCGUGCACUUGCGGUUUUACCCAUCAUACUACUAAAAGAAAAAUACCAUUUACAUAAUGGGAUUUGCUUGAUUUUUUCAUUAUUAUUUUUAGUUUUUGUUAUAAAUUAUUUGUUACUUUUUAUUUAAUUUUAUAUUUUAUAUGUUUGUUAUUUAUGUGAAAAUGUCUUUUCACUAUUGAGUUGGAAAAGAAAGUCUACUCUAAUCAUGGUUUAUGCUAUACUUAAAUUUACUACUAUACUGUUUCAAUUUUCCUCUAUUUUCUUUAUAGAAUAGUCAUAGUUUUUAUUUUACUAGUGAGAGGAGUUGAAGAAUUCAGACUACAUGAGUUGAGAAUAGGGACCACAAAUUAACAAUCACACAAAAAAAAAAUAAGGGUCAAAAUCCCAUCACUAUAAAUUAUUUUGUAGAUCACACCACAUGUCAAACUUAUGUCAAGUUAUUUUGUAUAUCAUAUUUAGGUCUUGUAAAAUCUAAAUCAACCCACCUUAUUUCCAACUCUAAUGAGAUCCAUGAGUUUUAUAUCUCUCUCUAACCUUCCUUGGCAUAUCCUAUCAAGAGAAAUGACCAAUUUCUUCAUUUCAAACACAAUAAGUGUCAUGCUAUGUUUAAUGAAGUCAGAAAAAUAAAUAUUGCUUUAGAAAAUAGUUGAAAUUUGACAAUUAACAAAUUCAUCAUUCUUUAUGCAAAAACUAUUUCUCGUAAUUCAUUGAUCAAUGUUUUAACAAUAAUUGUUAGCAUUACCUUCAAAUUGAUUUGUACAAAAGCAAGUAUAGUUACAUUGUUCAAAAUUAACGUAGGUUGGGUCUAAUACAUAGAGCUAGACUCUCAUAACGCUCAUUGACUUUUGUAAAUAACUGGUCUUCAUAUGAGAACUUGGUUGGCCACUAUUAAUGGGUCUUCCCUCUCAGUCAUGUUUUUUACAUCCAUCAUGCUUGAAUUCAAGACCUUGUAUAGGGGCCAAGUACAAUUAUGCUCGAACAAAUGUAAUGUUAGUGACAAAAUAUCUAAGUAAGUAGUCAAAACUAUUUUUUAUUUUUUUUUUAAAUAAAAGUGAAAUACUUUCAGUUUUGAACAUUGCAAAAUUUAGGGACGAAUUUGGCUGAUUUUUGAAAAUUCAAGGACGAAUUUGAGGUAUUAGUCUAAAAUAUAUUGACAUAAUUUUAGAUCCAUUGCACUCUGGCUCUUGAUGUUGUAAAACUAUACUCUUUAUGCUGUUCUAGCUCUUCAUGGGCAAUAAUAUCAUUUAAUUAUGUCUCAAUGAACAUAACGCAGGUGGUAGAGACAUUGUAUUAUAUAUGUAGAGGAAGAAGUUAAAAUCUUCAUUUCCACAUAUUUACAUUAAAGAGUGAAUUUUUUUGUCACUGUGCUGCUUAACAAAAAUAUCAUUUAUCUGCAUUUUUUUAUAGCAAUUUUGUUAGUGUUACCUCUCAUAGGCCUUAUUAUCAAGCUCAAAUCAACCACUCAUCAUCGGGUUGAGUUUGUUCGAAGUUGACAUAAAAAAUAUGAACUAAGAGAAAAUGGUUGUUAACAAACGAACAACAAAACCAAUUGUUUGUCAUUCUUCAAUUUUCAACCGAAAGGGAAAAGAACUAAGAGUUUAUCGACUUUAAAGAAACCCUUGCAAUAUUCUCUACGAUGAUUGGUUGAACCGUCACAAAGUAAUCCGACGACACAUAUCUUCGAUAAUGAGGGAACUGUUGCAAAUGUCUAGCUUAGAGAAAUAUGGCAUGAGAAGGGGUAUAUAUUUGAUGUCAAUACUAAGAGGAUAAACUAUCCUAUGUUUGUGCUUUCCUUUUGCAUUUCGUUUGUGAUCUCAUCCCUUUUGCGACACAUAAAUAAUGCAUAGCAAAGAAACAAAAUAAACAUGUUGGCUGACCAAUCACAUGUGAACUACUAAAGAUUUGAAUAACAUUUACCUAGUGGGAUUUUAACUAUUAAAAGAAGGGUUAGGCUAACAAGUUGUUUUAUGUAGAAAAAGAAACAAUAGAAUAAAAAAGAAGGGUUAUGCUAACGUAUGCACAAUCCCUUUAUGUUAAAGAUUUAAAAAUAAAAACAAUUGAUAAAUUGCAUGUAAUUUUUUUUAAUAUUUUGAUUACACAAUUUUUAAUAAAGUUAGAACUUUAAUCUUUAAGCAAUGAUACAUUGACCACUAGAUUGAUAACCCGUGCACUGCACAGGUCUUAUGAGUUGUAAUACAUUCACAUUAGUUAAAUGCAAUAGUUCACUGAAAAUUAUUCUCUCCUAAAAAGGUAUCUAAUAGGUACCAAAUUUUAAAAAUAUACUUAUAUACAUAGUUUUGUUAAAAAAGAACUAAAGUACAAUGUAAAAAAAAGUGUAGUGUGGUAAUU